UCUCUCACUAGCUAAAAGUUUUAGAGAGAGAAAGAGAGACUUGCCAUAGUAGCUUGGAAGCUUUUGAAAAGGAAUUCAACUACAAAAAAAAACCACCAAGGUGAGAAAUGAGUUAGAAUUUGAUUUUAAGGUGUUAGAGAUGGCUAGAAAUUAGAUUUAUGGGCUAUUAUAUUUUUUAUAGUUAUAUUAUGGGUGAUAGGUUCUAACAAGGCCUCACAUGUCUAUUUGAAGCAAUAAUCGAAGUUAGAGUCAAUUAAAGAUUCAACAAAUAUCAGUGAGUGAACUUCCAUUAAAAAAGUUUUGGGAUGUGUAUACAAGUAUGUUUGAUUGAAUCCCUAAAGUGUUUUAUUUGUUUUAUCUUCAAAACUAGUGCUUUGGGAACAAGCCUUUGAUAAAUUGUUUCUAUAUGUGACAUGUGGCUUUUAUGGAUUGUUGUACUACGACAUUAUGUUGAUAUAUAUAUAUAUAUAUAUAUAUAUAUAUAUAUAUAUAUGAAUAAUGUUGUGUAAUGAUAUUGACCCGACUAUGUGCGAAUGGGAGUGUGCAUAAGCCAUUGCUGACCUGGCUAUGUGAGAGUGGGAGUACGCAUAAGCCGUUGCUAACCCGGCUAUGUGUGUGUAGGAGUGCACAUAAGCCAUUGCAUAUGAGUUGAUGAUGAUGGGAGGGUGUGCAUGAUGAUUGACAUAUAUAUAUAUAUAUAUAUAUAUGGUAUAUGGUUGUAAUGCACGUGAAAUUUUGGCAUGUUGAACUUUGAAAAAUUUUGAGCAUUUCAUGCUGAAAUUGGCAUGAUGAAUCUUGAUAAUGUCCCAUUUUCUUGCAAAUUGAGUUCAUUGCAACACCAAAUGGAUUUUUAGUACAAAGGAGGUCCUUUUUACACUUAGGUGACCUGCUUCUUGCAGCAGCGAGAAACAUUCUGUUUUGCAGCCAGAAACUCGCUGCAGCGAGAAUAAAUCUCGCUACACCAAGAAACUCUCGAGUUCUGAUGCAGUACCUUCACUUUGAUGAAGAUUUUGACCACCUUCCUAUCUGAAUUGGGAAAAGUGGUAAACAUCAAAGUUGUAGCCCUGCCUCUUAGCUUUCUAAUGGUCAAAAAUCGAGUCAAUUGAACUUCUGUAACGGAAGAUAUGCUAGAAAAACUGAAACACAUGCAAACAGAUACUAUUUCUCACUGCAGCGAGAAUGAACUUCGCUGCAGCAAGAAACAUUCGUGGAUUGAUCAUGGGUUGUUGCAGCACUAUAAGGUUAUUAAUCAAAGUUUGAAAUGAGGGAUUUUUAGUAAGAAAUUAAAUCAAUUGCAUUGUUUUCAAAACAAGUGCAUCAUGAUUUCCAAAUUCUUCCUAUUGCUUGUUCCCUUCUUAUGUUCACUUACUGAGUUUCAUACUCAUGUUUUUUAAAUUCAUGUUUUCAGAUUUGGAGGCAAUUGGGACCUAGAUUGAUUCGCACACAUAUGCUCGUCUUCUUGGUAGGUACUAUGGCAUCUUAGUAGCGUAUCUUCACCUAGAGUCACUCCGCUGACGGUCUCGAGUCUAUUACUUUUGAACAUGUAUAUGCAAUGAAAACUACUAAGAGUCAUGUUAUAAAUGAAGUAUGUAUAUGUUAAAUUGAUGAUGAUAGUACUUUGAUAUAAUAUAAAUAUAAAUAUUCAGUUGUUAUAAAAUAUUACUGGAACAUUUACUUUUGAGAGUUACAGCACUUCAUAUUAAAGAUGAUGGAUGGGAAUGAUAAUCGAAAUUGCAUAAAUAGGCUUGCUUGGGCUUAGUGGGCUAUGCCCAUUGGGCCCAUGCGUCUGUCAUGGCCCGGUAUUUGGGCUGUGACAAUUUUGGGUUAAUAUAAAUACAAAUAUUUGGUUGUCAUAGCACAUUACUAAAGUACUUAUAGUUGAGAAUUAAGAAAUGUAACUUUAGAAAUUGUCUGAUGGAAUGAUGAACAAGUUACAUAAGAGGCUUGUUUGGGUUUGGUGAGUUGUGCCCAUUUGGCCCAUGUUUUGGUCAUGGCCCAAACAUUAGGCUAUGACAAAAGCAUUCUAUUUGACCAUCUAUUUACGAGUGAUAAUUAGAAGAUAUGUUAAGUUCUGAUCCAAUAACUUGAAACUUCUUUUCUAGAAAAAGCUUGUAAACCUUGGAUCUUUGUCAUUGAUAGUACUCUUAGGAACACCCCAAUAUUUUACCCCAUGUUUAAAAACCGUAUGAAUCAAUUCUUUUGUGAAGCCAAACUUCUGCACUGGAAUGAACAUUACAUACUUAGAGAAACAGUCCACCACUACCAAGAUCGUUGUCAUAUCUCUCACUUUAGAAAGUCCGACAAUAAAGUCCAGAGAAAUACUUUCCCAUGGUUUAGUCGACACUAAUAGAGGUUCGAGCAUUCCCGUCGGUCUUUGUCUAUCUACUUUGUUUUGUUGGCAAAUAAAGCACAUCUUUAUAUAAUCCAUCACAUCCUAUAGCAUAUGAGGCUAAUAGUAAUCCUGUUUCAAUAGUGCAAUAGUCCGCUACUGACUUUGAUGUCCUGCCCAAGGAGUGUCUUGACAUUCUCGCAUUAAUUUCUGCCUAAGCUCUCCCGCUCUUAGAACAAAUAUGCAUGGUCCUUUCAUUAGUAGGAGUCCAUUUAUCACCCAAAAGUAUUUCGACUUUCCACUCUCCACCAAUUUUAUAAUAACCGUUGCUUGGGGAUCUCGAUGCUAGUUUUCCUCCAAAAGAUUACGGAUAUCUGUGAUCACUUUGCUGGCUGUCAUUGGUGCGACUACCAUUAGAGUUAAGAAUUUGGCCUUCCUAUUGAGGGCAUCUACCACAUGGUUCACCUUUCUAGCUUUGUGCUUGAAGGAGAAAUAAAACUCAGCUAGGAACUCUUACCAUCUCGCCUACUUGGUUGUAAGUUUUGACUGUGAAAGGAAGUGACUUACUACUGUGUUAUCAGUCUUUAACCACGAAUUGUGAUCCUCGCAAAUAGGGUCACCAAGCCCCGUAAAUAGUGAAUCACUACGAGUAGUUCUUUCUCCUGUGCUAUGUGUCACGACUCGAUACUCCUCUCGAGCCCAUGACAACCGCCGCGGUGUCUCGAUCGGCACUCAUUACCCGAAAUGUCAACCGGAACCCCGCAAGGCUUUAAUAUCAGUUUCUCAUUUCCCAUGUGAGUAACCAUUGCCAAAUAUCAUGUUCUAAAAGAUUUUAAGCUAUUUCCAACUUAAAUCAAUAAAAAAAUGAUUUCUGUCUCAUAGGGGCAUUUUGGUCAUUUUUCUUCGAAAAUUUCGAAACCAACUAAAAAUGUAGUAUGUGAGUAUAAAACACAUAAUUCAUAAUAAAAAAUAAGUUUAAAUGUCUAAAACCUUCAUUUAAAAUGAAAUUAUGACUAUUUGAAUAUAAUAAAAAUAUUCAAUAAAAUAUUCUAUUUUCUUAUAAAACAAUAUUUAUAUAGUUACCGGUAAAUAAUUUUUUUAGCGUAAAAGCUAAAUAAAUUCAUACAUACUGUAAUACAGAUAAUCAAAGUAUAAAAUUUAAUUUACAGUGACACAUGGGCCCACGAACAACCAAAAGUUUCAAAAGCGGUAAAUCUACAAUUUUUGAGAAUGCAAGUCCAACUGUAGCUCUCAACAAAGUGAGCUAUCUAUCGACUAUCCUGAGCCUGAAAUGGGUGGAAAAGAGGGUGGUGAGAUUAUAUAAUCCCAGUGAGUAAACAAAUACCAUCUAAAAAAUUUAAAGCUGAGUAAAUGGAGACAGAUAAAAUAGAUUAGCAUAAAAAUGAUUCACAGCAUUUCGAACUCAUUUUAAUAAGAUAAAAUAGAUUCAUUUCACCCAAAUAAACAACGAGGCUAUGAUUUCCUAAAAAGUUUGGCUCGUGCCAAAAUCAUUAUCAUACUCAGUUAUCAGGGAUACCUUGGCCGAGGGCUAUCCCAACCGAGUUCGCCAAGGCUGUUAAAAAGUCAUGUACACAUAAAUCAUGUUUUUAUUUUGAAAACAUAGCCGCUCCUUGGCGUUGGUUGAGUUCACCCUUACGUGGUGGUUUGGCAUGAAGUGAACUCUAAAAUUUUAACCUCAAGAGUUAUCCAACCGCGCCUCUCAUACUGAGGUAUGAAUAUAAUAGGGUUACUGUGCCCCUCUAAUAGGUUGGUCCAUGGAACUCGUCCACUGCAGCGAUCAAUUAUAACCCACCAAUUCAAUAAAAUUCAACAGCAUGACAUGGCAAUUAUUUUAUUUUAUAGCCUCUCAAGGCAAAUAACAGUUUAUACAUUUUCAACACAAAUACCAAUUUAGCCAUUCACGCCAAUAUUGCCAUAAGCCAAUCAAUUAGAACCAUAAAUUCACAAUACAUCAAAUGGUCUCCAAUUACUCUAUUUUCAAAGCCAUCAUUCAAUUUCAAGAUAAUUUAUAAAAUCAUUUCAUUUAAACACAUUUUGUUUAUAAAAUCUAAAAAUUAACCAUUUAAACUCAUUUUCCAUAAAAUUCACAAAAUCGAAUAAAAACUACUUUAGAUAAUUAAGACGAUAGCAAGGUUACUCACUAUUUCGGGAGUCGAAUUUCGGGUACUCUGAUUCUUGAUCCUCGGGUACUAUCUCUUUACUUUUGCCAGAAUGCUCACCACCUAGACAUAAUGCACAAUAAGCCAUUUACUACAUUUGUGCUACAUUGUUAUAAAACCAAUUCAGGCUCUAUCCUAAUGCAUGAAAUGGGAUGUCAAUUGUUCGGAUUAUCGUCUAAACACGGUGUUCUACACAAAUUCAAUUAUGUACCUAAAUAAAAUGGUAUUGACCUAAUUCAAUCUAUCACUCGAUUAAUUGGCCAAUAUGUCCAAUUCAACUCCAAGAAUUUCAUUUUUCUUCCAAUUCUCCAAACCAUCAAACACAAGUUAAAUAACUUGAAAUAUGGCAAAAUCAUCCUCACAUUUUCUCUUGGAAAAUUCAGCCAUAGUGGGUGCAUCAACACUAUAAUUUUUCAAGCUUGAUUCUCACACCAUAAAUCACUAAUUCCUAACCAAAUCACUUGAAAUAAAAUCAAAAUCAUCAUUAAUAUUCUACAUGGAGAAUUCGGCCAAUGACGGGUGAUGGGAGGAAGUGAAUUUUUCUUGUUGGCUUUUCAUACUAGACAUCACUAACUAACUAAAAACACUAAAAUACAUUGAAAUCUAACCAAAUCAACCAUCAAAAUCUCCCUCUAAGUGUUCGGCCAGCAUGGGAUUCAUCAUGAAAUCAUGUGAUUCAACCAUGGAAAAUAAGAAAAAAUGCUUAAGAAAGAGAGAUCUCAAGCUUAAUUGAAAAAUCUUACCUUUUUUUUCACUUGUUUCCUUGAAUUUUCACACUUUUCCCUUGAAUUUUUCCACCUAGGGUUUUGUUCUUGCUUUGACCGGCCAUCAGAAUGAGAAAUGGGCUGGUUUGGUGCUAAUUUAUAAGGAAAAUAAUAAAGAAAUAAAAGAUUGACACUUGUCACCUUACCAUUGGUCCAUUUUUAAAUUCUUAACUAUUAAGCUUUCUUUCUCCACCACAUAAAAUCCUUCAAUUAUCCAUAAUAAUAUUGGGUAAAAUCCAUGUGUUGGACAAGUGUUGGCUGGUGUAAAAUUACAAUUUUACCCCUGGGGUGGCAAAAUGACUAUUUUGCCCUUAUGCUCGAAAAAAUGUCAAAAUUAAAAUUUUUCACUUCCCAAACUCAAAUUAUGUUCUAAAUAGUCAAUCUUGAUCAAAAACUUCUUCCAACAUUCCAAUUUUAACCUCAGGUGGCAAAAUGACCAUUUUGACCCUAGGUCAUGAAAAUUCCAAUUUGACUCCAAAUCAGUCCUCGAACUCCAAAUCAUCAUUUUAAGUCAUUCUAGGGUUUUAAAAUUUUUAAUUUCAUCUUAAAAUCUCUAUUUGGACUAGUUCGAGGCUUAAUUCAACGUAAUUGUACCAUUUGGUACAAUAUCGUCCUUUAACGAUUUUUGAGGUACCCAAGUAAACAAACAUGCAUUCUUAUGUAGGAAUGACAUAAUAAACAUAUUGUAAAGCCGGGCUUGACACUAUGUAUCUAUUUUCAGCUUCAUUCAACUUCUCACUUUCGAACGCAAUCGGGUGUGCUUCUUGUAACAACACUCCUCCAAGGGCAAAGUUUGAUGUAUCACGUCUUUCAAGCCUUUGAAGGUUUUUUGGCACUGUUGCAUCCAACUCCACUUCUAUCCCUUUUUCAACAAUUAUGUUAGUGCUACUGUCCUUCUUGAAUAUCCUUCCAUAAAUCUCUGAUAAUAAUUGGCUAGCCUAAGAACGAACAAAGCUUAGUUGUAUUCUUAGGGGUAGCCCACUCAUUGAUAGCCUUCACCUUUUGCAUAUCCAUUCGGAUGUACCUUUAUUCAAUUAUGUGGCCAAGGAACUAAAUUCGAGUUUGCGCGAAUGCACAUUUUUCCCUUUUCACAUACAAUUGGUUAUCGCGUAGCCUUUGGAAAACUUGUCGUGAGUGCCGUUGAUGCUCCUUUAAGGUUGAACUAUACACCACGAUAUUGUCCAAGUAGAUUAUCACGAACUUAUCUAGAUAAUCAUGGAACACCUUAUUCAUCAAUAUGCAAAAGGUAAGAGGAGCAUUAGUUAUUCCCAAUGGCAUAACAAGAAAUUCAAAUGCGCCAUACCAAGUUACGCAGGUGGUUUUCAAUUGAUCUCCUUCAAACACUCUUACUUGAUGGUAUCCCUGAUCUUAAAUCCAAUUUGGAAAAGUACUUUGCACAACUCAACUGGUUAAAGAGAUCUACUAUAAGAAGUAUAAGAUAUUUAUUCUUAACUACGACUUUGUUUAGAGCCCAAUAAUCCAUGCACAAUCUUGAACUCUCAUCUUACUUCUUCUGAAGGAGUAUUGGGGCCCCAAAAGGUGCCUUUAAUGGUCAAAUAAAUCUAGCUUGAAUCAACUCGACUAAUUGUUUCCUUAGCUCCGUUAACUCUGAGGAAGACGUUUUGUUAGCCCUUAUGUAGGUGGCUUAACUCUUAGAAGUAAUUCUAUCUUGUGAUCAGCAGCUCGUCGAAGUAAUAGGACCUUAGGUAGUUGUUCUAACAUCAUUUCCUAAAAUUCUUCCAAAACCAGAUUCAUUUCUUCGGGUAUUGGAUUCGUGUUAUCUUUACCUUUGUAUAUGGGCAUGGCCAAGUAAGAAGGCUCACAUUUCUUGAUCCCCUUCUUAAACUAUAUAGUUGAUAUAAUCCUCUUCCCACUCUUAGGUAGAAUUGUAGCUGGUACUACACAUGGUCGUUCUCAAAAAAAUAUUAGAUAACUUAUAACAGGGAAAGGGAUGGCUUAUACUUUCGUCAUAAAAUCCAAGUCCAAGCCAAAAUCAAAGUUAUCAAUAGUGGCUACAUUCAUGUUCACCUUCCCUUCCCAAGAGCCAAUCUUAAUGUUUACAUCUUUAGAGUUCCCUUUAAUAGUUGAAGCUAGCAAGUUAACUGCUUUCAUCUGCCCAAAGUCUUUCUCAACUUUAAGACCAUAUCUCUUUACCUCUCUCGGGGUGACGAAGGUGACUGAGGGCCCAGUGUUGAGAAUGGAUUUGGUUCUUUUCUCAUUCAACAAUACCUCUACAUACAUUAGACCUCAUUAGGGCUCUUUUUCAUCUUUUCUAAUUACGCUUGUAAGGCAUUGAGGAAAUGAAUGGAACCCAUUCGUGUUGGCUCUUCCUCGGCUUCUUUGAUUGUGGUGUGGGGUGGUGGUGUCUUAACAUUGGUAGUGCAUAUCGCACUGAAAGCUGCUCGGUUAGGACAAUCAACUACUCAAGAUGGUUCUUUGCAUAAAAGAUAAAGCACUUAACUCAUGAAUAUGUCAAAAGUGAACAUCCAAGCGUCAAUGAAUAUCAAUUACUAAGAUUCCAAAAGUGAAUAUUCAUUCUAAGCACAUUGGGCAUUCAUUGCUCACUUAAGCUAUAGGUCAUAUUUCAUUUGGCAUUCCAAAUUAUUUAUGGUAACCUAUAAGCUAGUGUGGAUGCACACAAAAUCUUUAGAUUAUGUAAACAUGAAGGCUCAAUGAAGACAUAGUUAACAUUUAAAUGCAUAUGCAAAAUAAAUUUCAACUAUGUCAACACACAAUAUAAAUAUAUAUUUCAUGAUCAAACUUGACUUGAGUUAUGAAAUUAAGCAAUAUAAGCAAUACUAUCACUUAAGUCAAGUUAUAGACUUCAAUCAUUAAGGUCAAGCAAGAUUAAAAGUCAUAUAAGCAUUUGACUUGACCAACACAAUAGAUGAACCAAAAACAAAAUUCAUUAAGUUCAAUGAUUUCAUCCUAAUGAGUUUUGUGAGCCGAAGCAAUGAUUCAAUCUUGAAACAAUCAUUUAAGUACAAACAUUAAACAUAUUUGAAGAAUAUUUCUUAGACUAAGCAUUUGAACAUUCAAUUCUCAAGAAAUAAUUUCUCAAUGUAAGCACAUGAGAAGUAAUAAAAUCAAGCACUUACAAACAAUUUCUUAGUUUUCAAAUUUUGUCAAUUAAGCCCAAAAGAAUUAAUAAUAUCAAUAUGAGUGUCAGUUUUUCUUCUGACUCUAGUUAUUUAAUUAGUUAAAGCAAAUUUAAUCAAUUAAAGUGCUAAUGACUUGAAAAGCUAUGUUUUAGUUUUUGGAGAGCAAAACUGUUUUAAUCAAUUACAAGGAUUUUUAACUAAUUAAAACCUUACUGGUUUGGGCUUAUAUUUUGCACAAGAAUCAUCUUAACUGGUUAAAGGAGGUCUUAACUUAUUAAAAUAAGUUCUAUCUUAUUUCUAAACCUUUUUUAACUGAUCAAAACAUAAUCUUAACCAAUUAAAACAAAAAAAAUAAAGCCAAAUUUCACAUAAUGUAUCAUCAAAAACAUAUUCAAUUCAGCUCAAUUCAAGCUCAUGGACAUCAAUCAUUCCUAGUUCUCUUCUAAUUAUACAAAAUUGGUCCUCACUAAAUGGUUUUGUGAAGACAUAAGCUAAUUGAUGCAAGGUAUCUAAAAAUUCUACCUUAACAUCUCCCUUAGGCACAUGAUCUGUAAUGAAAUGAUGUCUAAUCUCAAUGUGUUUAGUUCUAGAAUGCUAAUUUGGAUUUUUUUAUAUGUUAAUGGCACUUGAAUGGUAAAAAAAAUAAGAACAUUAUGCAUGGUGUGAGACCUCGAUCUUUAUAGACACGUAGCUAGAAGUAGACAUGAUAACUCGAACUAGGGGUAAUUUCAUCAUUUUCUUGGUGAGCUCCUAGAAGUAGGUUUCUUAAUAUUAUUAAGGCCUAAAUAGGCCUAAGGAAUAAAUGAAUGAUGUAUAUAAUGAUAAAUAAACGAAGAAAAUAGAAAAAUGUCACAACCCAAAACCUCCCUCGAGCCCAUGACAUCCGCCGCGACGUCCCGAUUGAUACUCAUUACCCGGAAUACCAAUCGGAACCCCGUAAGGCUUACAUAUCAGUUUUAAACAAUUUUCAAUCGUUUACGGCUCAAGUAAAUCAAAGACAAAAAUAUAGUAUUUUUAUAUAAAACAAUAUUUAUAGAAACACGUGUAAGUAAUCUUUUGUAACUUAAAAGUAAAAUAAAUUCAUACAUAUAAUAAUUUACAAAGUUAUAAUGUACAAUAAUAAUUACAAUGACAAGUGACCCGUAAAUACACCAAGUGUUGGCGAUAGAAACCUACUAUCUGUGAGUGAGAUUUUGCAAUCCCAAUGAGUAAACAGACAUUAUCAUAAAUAUCUAAAGGCGAGUAAAAUGGAGGCAAGUUUAAACAACAAAUCACAAACCAUUUCAUAAGGUUUUCAAUUUAAUUCUUAAACCAUAAAAUAUUUGUAAUUUACCAAAACAGUUGUUAAGGCUUAUGACUUUUAUUAAAACAAGGCUCAAGCCAAAAUUAAUCCUCGGGGAUACCUUGGCCGAGGCAUCUAACCAAGUCCACCAAGGCAGUUAUGAUAUUUACAUAUGAAACACAUUUUUAUUUUUAAAACAAGUCGUUCCUUGGCGUUGACCGAGUUACACAUUCACGUGGGGGUUCGACGUGAAGUGAGCUCUAAUACUACUCCGAGAGUUACCCUCCUCGCCUCUACAAUUGGAGUAAUUAUAUAACCGAGUUUACCGUGGCCCUCUAGUAGGUAGUCCACGAAAACCUGUCACUGCAGUAACUAAACCCACCAACUUUAAUAAAAUUUCGACAGUAUAACGUGGCUUUUAUUUAUUUACCCAGCCUACAUAGUAAAAACAGCUUACAUAAAUUCUCAAUGCAAUUUAUCAAAUAUAGCCACAUAUACUCAUAUUUCAUAAGCCAUUCAUAGGAAAUAUAUAUUUCAAAAUAACUGGCAGCCUCCAAUUACUCAAUUUCAUAAUCAACACAAUAUAUUUUUAUUUGUCACAUUUAUUUUUAAAACAUCAAAAAUCUCGUUUUAAUCUAGUUUUCAUUUCAUAAAAUACAUAAAGAGUAUUUAAAAAUAAACUCUAGAUAAUUUACAAUAAUAAUAGGUUUACUUACCGUUUGAACAAAUUAACUGAUUUUUUUUAGGUGCCCCGAUCACUGUUCAUCUGGUACGACUUCCUUGCCUUUACCGGAAGGCUUUCCUCCUAAACACAUUGCAAAAUUUACCCAAUUCACCACAUUGAUGUUAAAUCUCUAUAUAAUUGACUUAAAUCCUAUACUAAUGCAUCGUAUGAAAUGCAAUAGCCUAAAACGGCUUAAACGCGGUAUUAACCUAUUUUUGACACUUUACCCGUUAAAUUGCUAACGAGCUCCAUUUUAGCUCUAAAUUGUCCCAUUUUCUCCACAACAUUUCUAACCAUUAAAUAUCAGCCAAUAACCUUCUAAAAUCACCAAAAUUAGUUCACUUUCCUCCUUGGAAAAUUCGGUCAAAAUGGGACAUUUACUCGGUUAAUUUUCCACUUUGUUUUUCUAUCACAUUUAACCAUUUUUCUUCAUUUCUCUUAGAAUAAAAAUCAAUUCAUCAUCAUUGUACAUCAAUGCAUAUUCAGCCAAGGGUGGGUAUUGUGAAAAUUUCAUGCUUUCUUGCCCAAUUUAAGUUCUAUACACAUUUAACUAACUAAAACUACCAAUUUAACUAAAAAUCAAAACCUAAAAACUCCAAAAUCUCUCCCCUAGAAUUUCGGCCAGCUCUUGGUUUCACUUUUUGAUCUCUCUCCUCAAGCAUGCUUAAUGGAAAUAAAGGCAUAGGAAAGGUAGAAAUCAAGCUAAAAUCGAAAAAUCUUAUCGUUAGACGUGUAAACGGACGAAAAACGCGAUUUCCCCUUUGAAUUUUCUCGUUUUCCUUUGUUUUUCUCUUUUCUUCCUUUCCUCUCUAUGUUCUCUCUUGUUCUUUCCUUAUGGCCUGCCAUCACUUAACAUGGGGUUUAAAUGGGCUGAUUUUCUAUUAAAAUAAUAUUAAAUCAUUAAAAAGUGCCAUGUGUCACUUUCCCAUUGACCUGUUUUUAAAAUUUCAUCCAUUUGUUUCCAAAUUUUCACCAUACACUUGUCUCACAUAUCCAUAGCUUAGAUAAAAUUCUCAGACAUCCCUUAUACUCAUACCAUUCCCCAAUUUGUCAAAUUUGAUCUAAAUUCUCUCAAAAUCUCAAAUUUUGUCCGCGGGUGGCAAAAUUACGAUUUUACCCUUAAGCAUCAAAAUUUCCAAUUUUACCCCAAAUGAACCCUCGAACUCAGAACAAUCAUUUUUAGUCAUUCCUGGGCUAUAAAAUAUUAAAUUUCAUCUUACGAUUCCUAUUUGAACUAGUUCGAGGUUAAAUCAACUCAAGUGUACUGUUAGGUACAAUACUAGGUUUCCUCUAUUCUUAGGACUUUCCUAGCGUAAUAACAUGCUACUCAGUGCAUGUAUGUCAUGACAUGUGUUUAUAGGGUCGGGUUUUACAAUUCAACCCCCCUAAAAAUAAAAUUUUGACCUCAAAAUUUCACUUACCAAAUUCGACAAAUAGAUACGGGUAUUAGUUCCUCAUCUGAUGCUCUACUUCCCAUGUCAUUUCCUCUAUUCGAGCACUUUUCCACAACAUUUUGACCAUUGAAAUACUCUUGUUCCUCAGUACUCGAUCCUUUCGAUCCAAGAUACUCACAGGUUGCACCUCGAACUUCAAAUCGUCAUGCAACUCGAUCGGAGGUGCUUCGAGGAUGUGAGAAGGAUCUGGUACAUAUUUCUUAAGCAUGGAGACAUGGAAAACGUUGUGGAUCUGAUUUAACUGCGGAGGUAGUUUUAGUCUAUACGCCACUGGCCCAAUUCUUUCAAUAAUACGAAAAGGUCCAAUGUAUCUCGGAUUGAGCUUUCCUCGCUUUGCAAACCAGAUCACACCUUUCAUUAUCCAACAAGAUAUCAUAAUUUACCACAAUAAUAUAAUCAAAUAAAACUUAAUACCACAAAGCAUUCAGAUUAUUACCUUUCCAAGGAGAAACCUUAAGAAAAACUCUAUCAUCGAUCUCAAACUCCAAGUGUUUUCUCUGUUUAUCUGCAUAGCUCUUCUGCCUAUCCUGAGCUACCUUUACCUCUCUCGUAUAACCUUGAUCUUGUCAUUAGUUAAAUCGAUCAAUUCCACACUAACUAACUUUCUUUCACCCACUUCAUCCCAACAAAGUAUAGUACGACAUUUCCUUCCAUAUAAAGAUUCGUACGGUGCCAUACCAAUGCUAGACUGGAAGCUGUUGUUGUAAGCAAAUUCCAUUAACGGCAAGUGUCUAUCCCAACUCCCAAGAAAAUCCAUGACACAAGCCAUCAACAUAUCCUCCAUAGUAUGGAUAGUCCUCUUUGACUGACCAUCCGUUUGUGGGUGAAAAGCAAUGCUAAAUUUCAAUUUGGUUCCGAGAGCUUCUUGAAAUUUCGACCAGAAUCGAGAAGUGAUUCGAGGAUCUUGGUCUGACACUAUAGAAACGAUAACUCCAUGUAGCCUCACAAUCUCAUCUAUAUAGAGCUGAGCCAGCUUCUCAAAAGAGAAUGUACUAUGGACUGCUAAAAAGUGAGCAGACUUAGUCAACCGAUCUACGAUCACCCAAAUCGCAUCCUUUCCCCUCUGUGUCCACCGCAGUCCCAAAACAAAAUCCAUAGUUACAUGCUCCCAUUUCCACUCAGGAAUAGGUAAAGAUUGAAGUGUACCUGCUGGCUUCUGAUGCUCGACCUUAACUUGCUGACAUACGAGACACUUUGCUACGAAUUCUGCUACAUCUCGUUUCAUACCCGGCCACCAAUAAUUCUCCCUGAUAAUCCUAUACAUCUUGGUCCUUCCGAGAUGUAAUGCAUAGGCAGAUGAAUGGGCUUCUUCCAUGAUCGCCUGUCUCAACUGGUUUCCCUCAGGAACACAAACUCGGUCUCUAAACAUCGAGACGUUAUCCUCUCUGAGUCUGAACUCACUAACUCCCUCAUCGGUCAAUUUUUGAAUUUUUUUUCUUAACUCAUCAUCAGACCUCUGAAUGUCCUUGAUUUGAUUAAGUAACGAAGGUCGCACAAUGAAGUUUGCCAAUAAGGAUCCAUCCUCACCUUUUCUCAACUAGACCCCAAGAGAUUUCAUCUCUAAUAAUGCUGAAAAAUAACAACUCUGAAGUGUAGCUAAAGACGAUGAAGACUUACGACUUAAGGCAUCAGCUACAACGUUCGCCUUUCCCUGAUGAUAGUCUAUUACCAAGUCAUAAUCUUUUAUCAACUCCAACCAUCGCCUUUGCCUCAAAUUGAGCUCUUUUUGAGUGAGCAAAUAUUUUAAACUCUUGUGAUCCGUAAAUAUCCGACAAUGCUCAUCAUACAAAUAAUGCCUGCAGAUUUUUAAAGCAAAUACCACUGCUGCUAACUCUAAAUCAUGGGUAGGGUAAUUUGCUUCAUUCUUCUUCAACUGCUGCGAAGCAUAAGCUAUUACUUUCUCAUCCUGCAUCAACACACACCCUAACCCCAACUUAGAUGCAUCACUAUACACCACAAAUCCCUUACCACUCACAGGAAGUGUUAAAAAGGGAGCGGAGGUUAACUGGUUCUUUAGCUCCUGAAAUCAAUUCUCACAAACAUCAUCCCACUCAAACUUAACUCCCUUACGAGUUCGACGGGUCAAAGGAGCUGCUAUUAAGGAAAACCCUUGAACAAACCUCCGAUAAUAACCGGCUAAUCCUAGGAAACUACGAAUCUCCGUCACUGUCUUAGGUUACUCACAUUAUAAAAUUGCCUCUAUCUUCUUGGGAUCAACAUAUAUUCCAGCUCCCGAUACUACGUGUCCCAAGAAUACCACUUCUUGUAACCAAAACUCACACUUCGAAAACUUUGCAUACAACUGUCUUUUCCGCAAAGUCUAUAAUACUAUACGCAAGUGGGUAGCAUGCUCAUCAUUAUCUCUCGAGUAAACCAAGAUGUCAUCAAUAAACACAAUAACAAACUUGUCCAAGUAAGGGUGGAACACCCUAUUCAUGAGAUCCAUAAAAGCUGCCGGUGCGUUAGUUAACCCGAAAAGCAUGACCAAGAACUCAUAAUGACCGUACCAAGUCCUGAACGCUGUCUUGGGUACAUCCUGUUCUUUAAUCUUCAACUGAUGAUACCCAGACCUCAGAUCAACCUUAGAAAACAUUGUAGCUCCCUGUAAUUGAUCGAAAAGAUCAUCAAUCCUCGGUAACGAAUACUUGUUCUUAAUGGUCAUUCUGUUAAGCUGUCGGUAAUCUAUACAUAACCGAAGUGUACAUCUUUCUUUUUCACAAAAAAAAUCGAUGCUCCCCACGGAGAUAUAUUAGGGCGUAUAAAACCCUUGUCCACUAACUCUUACAAUUGUGCUUUCAACUCCUUCAACUCUGUCGGAGCCAUUCUGUAUGGAGGAAUAGAGAUAGGGGCAGUACCCGAAAAUAAAUCAAUGGUGAAUUUUAAUUCACGAUCGGGGAGAAAGUCCCGAUAAUUCAUCAGGAAAUACAUCGGGGAACUCACUGACUAUGGGGACAUUCUCUAACUUAGGUUCCUCCCUCGAUAUAUCAAUCACGUGAGCCAAGUAUGCCAGAUAUCCCUUUCGUACCAAUUUCAAAUCUUUGAGGGUCGAGAUUACACAAUACGGUAAUACUCGACGCUCCCCCGUAAAUACAACUUCUGCUCCCUCUAAACUCUGGAGAAUCAUUUCUUUCUUAAAGCAAUCCACUUUUGCUCGAUGAGUGGACAACCAAUCCAUACCCAAGAUCAAAUAAAAGUCUCGAAUCCCCAAAGGGAUUAAAUCACCCAUAAAUUCUUCUUCCCCAACUUUAAUACCAUAGUCUCUAUAAUACAUAUUUCUUACUAAUCGCUCGCCUAAAGGAGUAUGCACUAUAAUUUCUUCCUCUAAUGGUGACAGGUUCCUAUCUAAAAAUGAUGCAAAUGAUAUGCUCACAUAUGAUCUAUCGGAGCCCGAAUCUAUCAAAACAUGUGCAUCUUUAUCAAACACAACCAUAGUACCUGUCACUUGCUAGGUCGAACUCGGGCUUCAUCUUCAGUCACUGCAAAAACCCUGGUCGAAAUCUGAGGUUGCAGUCUGGAAGAUGGCUGCUUUAAGGUAUUACUCCCCAUGCCUGACCGUAUCACUAGGCCCUGUCUGGACUGUGAUCUUGAAAUGUCUCUUCGCGGUAUACUAGGACGAGUCGGAGAAGUAGAAGUAGCUACUGUACCUCAUCUCCACUGAGGACAAUCUCUCUUGAUAUGCCCCUGUUGGCCACAUUGAAAACACUUUACAGGCUGUCUACAUGACCCAACAUGAAAUCCUCCGCAAUUACGGCAUCUAUCCAAUCCUCCUGAGUCCCCCCCUGUCUACUCAUCACUUGCCGAUCGAAUCUAGAAGAUCUCGGCUGUGACUGUUGAGAUGGAGGUCUAAUGGAUGCCACAGAUGCUGAGGUAGUACUUCGCGCAGCAGAUGUCGAAUCUCUGCCUCUCUUUGAAGACUGACCCGGGAACAUAGGCGGAUUCCUUCUCUUUGCGAACUCAGCUCGGAUCUGUCUAUUCUCAGUGUCAAGCUUCUCAGCCCGUAAUGCCAUCUGCACAACUUCCUUAUAUGACUCCUUGCCAGUCACUAUCAUACGCUCCCAUAUCUCAUUACGGAGUCCCUCCUCAAAGUAGUUUACCUGAUCUUGCUCCAAUCUCACCAACUCAGGUACAUACAACAUCAGCUCGUUCAAACGAGUUUCAUACUCCUCAAUGGUCAUGUUCCCUUGUUUCAAACUCAUAAAUUCUCUCUUUUUCUCUUUCUGAUUAAAAUAGGUGUAGUACUGACCAUCAAACUCUCAGAGAAAAUCCGUCCAAGUCAACGGUAUAGGAGAGCGAGACUUUACUGAAUUCCACCAAGUACGGGCUCUCUUCUCAAAUAACCGUGUAGCCACCUUCAAUUUCAUCUCAUCAUCUAAUCCCAUAUCUGUCAGUGUCUCCGAUACCUGAAUAACCCAAUCCUUAGCUGCGGUCGCAUCCAACUCACCAGUAAACGAGACACAACCUAAUUGUCUAGCUUCCUUCAAUUUCUUAGAAAUUGAGACGUCCGGUGUCUGGGGUGGAAUAAGAGGGGGUGGUACUGGGGCUGUUAUAGGGGAAACAGCUGGUGGAACUGGAUCAGCCUGAGCCUGGCUCGCAAGAGCAACGAGAAAAGCCGCUAAUGCCUGAGCUACCUCGGGUGUCAUGGCAAGUACGUCAGGAGUAGCAACAGGUGGUGGAGGAGGUACAAAAAUGUCCGUAGACUCAGCAGUAGGAACUGCUCUAAAAGAAGACGCAGCCGACUCCUCUUCUAUGGAAUCUGGCCGACUCUGUCUAGGACGACCUCUUCCCCUACCAGUAGAUCUAGUGAUAGGUGGUAGCUCACGUCGAGGAGGCAUAAUGAUCUACAAGAAGAUUGGAAUUAGUUUAGACAACUUAAGACUCUAUAUGCAACUACAUGCAACUAACUAAUCUUAACUAGGCCACACUAACAUUGUAAAUUAUUUUAAAAUAACCUUAAAUCCAAGAACUUUAAAAAUCAAAAACUUUUUUCAAAACCAUAAGCUUUUAAACUGAAGGCUCUAAUACCAAUUGAAUUAUCAUGACCAGAAACCUCCCUCGGGCACAUGACAACCGCCACGACAUCCCGAUUGACACUCAUUGCCCAGAAUGCCAAUCGGAACCCUGCAAGGCUUACAUAUCAGUUUCUUGCCUUUUCUGUGAGCAAUUGUUUUUAAACAAUUACCAGUCGUUUUCGGCUCAAGUAAAUCAAAAGAUAAAAAUAUAGCAUUUUUAUAUAAAACAAUAUUUAUAGAAACACGUGUAAGUAAAAUAAAUUCAUACAUACAAUAAUUUACAAAGUUAUAAUGUACAAUAAUAAUUACAAUGACAAGUGGCCCAUGAAUACACCAAGUACUGGUGAUAGUAACCUACUGUCUGUGAGGUAGAGAUGUCAACUAGAAUCCUCGACAAAAUAGGGUAUCUACAAGCUACCACAGACCUGAAAUGUUUAGAAAGGAGGUGGGUGAGAUUUUGCAAUCCCAAUGAGUAAACAGACAUUACCAUAAAUAUCUAGAGUCGAGUAACAUGGAGGCAAGUUUAAACAACAAAUUAAAAACCAUUUCAUAAGGUUUUCAAUUUAUUCCUUAAACCAUAAAAUAUGUGUAAUUUACCAAAAUAGUUGUUAAGGCUUAUGACUUUUAUUAAAACAAGGCUCAAGCCCAAACUAAUCCUUGAGGAUACCUUGGCCGAGGCAUCUAACCGAGUCUGCCAAGGUAGUUAUGAUAUUUACAUAUGAAACACAUUUUUUUUUUUGAAACAAGCCGUUCUUUGGCGUUGGCCGAGUUACACAUUCACGUGGGGGUUCGACGUGAAGUGAGCUCUAAUACUACCCAGGGAGUUACCCUCUUCGCCUCUACAACUAGAGUAAUUAUAUAACCGAGUUUACCGUGCCCCUCUAAUAGGCAGUCCACGGAAACCCAUCACUGCAGUGACUAAACCCACCAAUUUUAAUAAAAUUUCGACAGUAUAACGUGGCUUUUAUUUAUUUACCCAACUUGCAUAGUAAAAACAGCUUACAUAAAUUCCCAAUGCAAUUUAUCAAAUAUAGCCACAUAUACUCAUAUUUCAUAAGCUAUUCAUAGGAAAAUAUAUAUUUCAAAAUAAUUGGCAGCCUCCAAUUACUCAAUUUUAUAAUCAACACAAUAUAUUUUUAUUUGUCACAUUUAUUUCUAAAACAUCAAAAAUCCCGUUUUAAUGUCGUUUUCAUUUCAUAAAAUACAUAAAGAGCAUUUAAAAAUAAACUCUAGAUAAUUUACAAUAAUAAUAGGUUUACUUACCGUUUGUACAAAUUAACUGAUUUUUUUUAGGUGCCCCGAUCACUGUUCAUCGGGUACGACUUCCUUGCCUUUACCGGAAGGCUCUCCUCCUAAACACAUUGCAAAAUUUACCCAAUUCACCACAUUGAUGUUAAAUCUCUAUAUAAUUGACUUAAAUCCUAUACUAAUGCAUCGUAUGAAAUGCAAUAGCCUAAAACGGCUUAAACGCAGUAUUAACCUAUUUUUGGCACUUUACCCGUUAAAUUGUUAACGCGCUCCAUUUUAACUCUAAAUUGUCCCAUUUUCUCCACAACAUUUCUAACCAUUAAAUAUCAUCCAAUAAUCUUCUAAAAUCACCAAAAUCAGCUCACUUUCCUCCUUGGAAAAUUCGGUCAAAAAUGGGACAUUUACUCGGUUAAUUUUCCACUUUGUUUUUCUAUCACAUUUAACCAUUUUUCAUCAUUUUCUCUUCAUUUCUCUUAGAAUAAAAAUCAGUUCAUCAUCAUUGUACAUCAAUGCAUAUUCAGCCAAGGGUGGGUAUUGUGAAAAUUUCAUGCUUUCUUGCCCAAUUUAAUUUCUAUACACAUUUAACUAACUAAAACUACCAAUUUAACUAAAAAUCAAAACCUAAAAACUCCAAAAUCUCUCCCCUAGAAUUUCGGCUAGCCCUUGGUUUCACUUUUUGAUCUCUCUCCUCAAGCAUGCUUAAUGGAAAUAAAGGCAAAGGAAAGGUGGAAAUCAAGCUAAAAUCGAAAAAUCUUACCGUUAGACGUGUAAACGGACGAAAAACGUGAUUUUCCCUUUGAAUUUUCUAGUUUUCCUUUGUUUUUCUCUUUUCUUCCUUUCCUCUCUAUUUUCUCUCUUGUUCAUUCCUUAUGGCCGGACAUCACUUAAUAUGGGGUUUAAAUGGGCUGAUUUUCCAUUAAAAUAAUGUUAAAUCAUUAAAAAGUGCCAUGUGUCACUUUCCCAUUGGCCCGUUUUUAAAAUUUCAUCCAUUUGUUUCCAAAUUUUACCAUACACUUAUCCCACAUAUCCAUAGCUUAGAUAAAAUUCUCAGACUUAUCCAAAGUCUUGGUGGAGUAAUUUUUGAAAUUUACAUUUUUGCCCCCGUAAAAGUGAAAAAUUACAUUUUUGCCCAAAAAACUGAAAAAUUGCCCAUAGACAUAUUUUUCAUCCCUUAUACUCAUACCAUUCCUCAAUUUGUCAAAUUUUAUCUAAAUUCUCUAAAAAUCUCAAAUUUUGUCCGCGGGUGGUAAAAUUACGAUUUUGCCCCUAAACAUCAAAAUUUCCAAUUUUACCCCAAAUCAACCUUCGUACUCCGAACAAUCAUUUUUAGUCAUUCCUAGACUAUAAAAUAUUAAAUUUCAUCCUACGAUUCCUAUUGGAACUAGUUCGAGGUUAAAUCAACUCAAGUGUACCGUUAGGUACAAUACCGGGUUUUGUCUAUUCUUAGGACUUUCCUAGCGUAAUAACAUGCUACUCAGUGCAUGUAUGUCAUGACAUGUGUUUAUAGGGUCGGGUUUUACACGUUUGAUCAAUAAGGUCUUAUUUUUGUCCAACGAGGGUGCGAGGUAUUACAAUCCACGCCAGAGUCACUCCGCUGAUGUAUAUGGCUAUUUAAAUGUAAUUCAUGAGUUUGGUUGUAAACACCGCAUGUUUAGCUUGAAUAGUAAUAUUGCCACAAGUUGGCAAAUUGUGAUAUUAUUUUGUGAAUGGUAUUGGUCAGUUGCCAUGAUUUAUUUUUGAAAGGAAAUUAUUUCAAAAACAACGAAUUAAGAACCUUAGAGGGAAAAGAAGGACAAGUGGUCUAAUAAACAAGUUUUCAUAGAAAAGCUUGCUUGGGCUCGAUGGGUUAUGCCUAUUGGGUCCAUGCGCCAGUCAUGGCCUAAGAUUGGGCUAUGACAAAGUUGGUAUCAGAGCUCUAGGUUUAGUUGAGUCUUAGGGAUCCUUGUGUCUAUCAGCGGAGUUGUGGGAGUCUAUGUAGAGUCUCAUCCUUGGAUUACGGGUGCGCAACGCAACCUAUGGACAAGAGGCUACAUAGGCCCCUAAUUCAUUAGAGACCUACCUAUUCUUAUCAAAUAUAAAUGGCUAAGUAAUUAACGUUUGGUUGCGUAUAGGUUUGGAGGUGCGCCUGUUACAUACGCCAUGUCCAGAAGAAACGGUAGUUCAGAUACCCCUCAUAGUACUAGCGAGGGAUCGCUAGAUUCCAUUGCUAAGAGCCAAUGGCACCCUAAUCCAGGGGGUUAGGGAAGUGGCCAGUCUUGGAUUCCUAUUACAUGGAUUCCAUCGAAAUUGGAAAAAUUAUUUCGCAGUAGGGAAAGAAUAGUGAGAGUCUUGAAAGCGAGGAUAGCAAUGUGAUUUAGGAAAACGCAAAAAAAUUUCAUGUUGGUAAUGUCUUAGGAAAAGUUUAAGGAGAAUGUGAAAGAAGCAAUGGCAAAAGGAAGUUAUCAUCCUAGAAAGGUCUAAGGAGUCUGAAACUUUCCUCCUAGAUAUGGAAGGGGUGCUACGCCUAUGAGUAAGGAGUAAUUUGAGAGGCAACUGCAAGCUUGGAAGAAUAAGAACCAAGAAGAUGAAGAGGAUCUUGAAGAGGACCCGGAGGAGGAUCCGUCAAUGUGUCCAAAUCAAGGCAAUGAUGAUCCUAGUAACACUUAAUAGUUUCGUUGGACUUCGUAUUACUUUAAGUAUGGGUAACUGCGGUGUGAAUUAAGUAGUAUAUGCUAUCUAUAUAAAGGAUUUGAGAGUUUGGCUUGUAUUUUAUGUAGCUCAAACAGAUUAUGAAGCAGUUAUUUAAAGGACUUGGUGUGUGUCAAAAUUUUCACGUGUGACAGAUGUAUAUUAACACUAUACUGAUUAAGGAAAGAUAUACACCCUAGUGGCGUGAUUGGUUGCCUUAGGCAAUUAUUGAAGGUUGAUGUAGAAAGUCAUUAACAAUUCAAGCAACUACAAGAUCUGACGAUAAAUAUGUUUUGCAGUACAACGAAAUGGUUACCAAUAAACGGGGAUGAACUUUUGAGUGGUAACCCUAUUUUCUAGCAAGGUGCAUAAUGCCAUUUGAAUUGAUAGUGUUUAUUAGAGAUUAUCAUUUAUCAGGUUAUGUGGGUUUUGGAAUGAUUCCGAAUGAAAAAAAAUAAUAUAUAAAUAAUAAAGUUCUAGUUUAUUUUUGAGUACACACAUUGAACCAGGGGACUAUGUUAUAAUAAGCAGGUUCAAUGUGCCCUAAUUGCAUAAGAUAUCGUGAAAUAGUGUGGUAAGGUCAACAAUCAAUCGUGGAAAUGUGAAAUUGGGAAUCUCAAUUAUAGUUACAAUUUGGAAGGAUAUGGGAGAAAUCAAUGAGGCUAUAGGUGACACUUUGAAUGGUUAAUGUGAUUAAGUCGGGGAUUGUAAAUUUAAAUAUGGAAGGAAUUACAAAAUGAUGCCACGACAUUAUAAGGUAAUAAUUUGGCACAAAUAUAGCCCAUUGGAGGUAAAUUAUGGAACUUGGGAAGAUGAAUUCUUGAUUUAAUGAAGAUUGUGAAUGUAGAAUGUGGAGAAAGAUGAACUAUUUUUAUGGUCAAUUGUACUGAAAGUUGAUAACUAUUUAAGUUACAAGAUAAGAAAGACAAUUAAUUAUGGAUGAUAAGAAUUGUGUGAUACCAUAAAUAGUGAAUAAUUAUGUGUGGUGUCAUAUAUUUUGUGAAGUCAUUACACAAUAUGGAAAAGAUGUCCUAAGGUGGGACUUCAUGAUUGAUGAUAAGUGUUAAAAGAUAAUAUGAGUUGAAAGUAUUGACCUGGCCUAGUCCAUAUGAUAAGUAAAGAGAAGAUACACAUGCUUAUGGGAAUUGUGAUAUAUGCCUAGAGGAGGAAAUUUCUAGAAGUCACAUAGCCGCAACGCUAAGAACAUUUCAUGGCUAAAAAGCACGAGUGAAUUGUAAGUGGUGUGAUGAUACACUUACAAGCCGAAUUAUGUUCAUUACUCUUGAUGUUGAGCGUUGUUAUUGGAGUUUUAAGUACAUUGGAAGAGUGUUUAUAUGAGUGAAUUGAAAAGUUUCUUUACUGCCUUAUAUAUGGGCAUGUAAGUAAAAGAAAAAGAAGUUAAAGAGUUCUCGAGAUAGCUACAUUGAGAUAAACUACCAUGUGAAGAAUUAAGAUGAAUAAUAUGUUGACUAAAGUCAAAUCCUAAGAAAUAAAGAAGACAAGAGAUUAAGCCUUGUUAAAGGCUAAGGAAAAAGUGAGUGAAAGGUUAGAUGAAUGUAUAAGACAUUGACAAGAGAUGUGAAUACAAAGUGAUGAAAUUAUGAAUAAAGGAUUACAAAGGUAGCAUGGCAAAUGAGUUAAUAUAAAGUAUUGCUAUGAGGAUUUACAAAUCUUGUCUUGACUUAGUUGAAUGAAGAGGGUUAGUAAUAACACAAGGCCAAUUAUGUGGCAUGCUAGAAACCCAUGAAGAUAAAUUGAAGUAUGAAUAGAUGAGCAUGCAUUUAAAUAUCUUGGUGAAUAAGUGCAUGCCUUUUUGGAAUGAUAUGCUCGGGAUGUUAAAGAGCAAAUAAGUGACUAAGUGUUUCAGGAAUGCAUGAACAUCCUUGAGAAGGAAUUACCCAUCAUAUGAGGCUAGUAUAAUAUGUGUGAUUUUGAAACUUGCUAAAAAGCCUAACGGCUAAACCACGGGUUAAAUAAUUAUAUGCGAUGAGACAUACGUUUAAGGUGGGUAUCUGCAAGGAAAUACUCAAGAGGAAUCCUGCUAUGAAUCUUGUGAAAACAAGCAUUAAGUUAUGUGGUUACAAAAGGGACACUGUAAGCUAAAAGUGAUACUCACAUUGACAUUGAGAGGUACUUGAGGAGAACCUUACUUCAAGUCUUGUAAUUUCAAGUACAUAUUGUCAAUUGGCUAAGGGAGAAUGAUGUUAUAUUUAUGUGAAAGAGUAGUGCAAAAGAUGAUUGAAGAUAGCCUUGAUAAUGAAGUCAAAUAAUGAAAACCUCCUAAUGUAUGAUGGGAAAAUGAAAUUUGAAAAUGCAUAAGGCAUACAUGAUUCGAAUGAGUCUAAGUCUUAAGUGACUGGUUAAUAUCAAAUUGCAAAAAGGAUAUAAUCUAUAUGUUAGAGGCAUGAAAGAUAAUUGAGAAAUAAGGAUGACUUGUAGGGAUUGUGGUAUUGCAUAAGAUGCAAUGAUCAAGUAAGAAAUAAAUCUUUGAAGGAUCAAUGAGAUUAUAUAGCAUAUACGAAUACCGGAUUGCAAUUUAAUGAAAAUGACAUUUGGCAAGUGAGAGGUGACUAAUGACAUUAUGAUGCAAGGAUAUAUAGUAUAAUGAUACUUAAGCAUAUAAUUGGAAAUGAUAAGAAAGGAGUAUAGGCAUGUAAAUGAUGUGAAGUUAUGCAUAGGCAUAAUGAGAAUUCGUAUGGAUUACGUAAGAUAUAACUUGUGGUAGACGCAAGUUAAAUGGCGACUUAAACAUAUAAAAAGGGUAAUCUGAAAUUGAUUAUACUAGUGAUCACAAAUUAAGCAUGAGAAUGUUGACAUCUAAAUGUGCAUGUAUAUACAAAUGUGUGGGGCUGAUGAUGUCACCAACUAAAAAAUGAAGAAAUGUUCUCAGAGAUUCAAGAUUUGAACUUGAUAUAUUUGAUGAGUUGUAUGGAUAACACAAUGAUAAGAAAUUUUGUCAGAAGUAGAGCUAUGUUGAUAUUAGGAAUUUUGGAGAAACAGUUAAAGAAAUGAUGUCAAGGAAGCAUCAUUUAUAGCAUGGUUAAGCCAUACAAGAUGGACUAAUAUGAUUAAGAAGAUUUAAGUUGUGUAAAUGCAAGAUAAAUAUAAAGUAUGAGGGAAUGGUUGAAAGAUUCAACUCCCCAUAAUGUUGGAAAAAAUGUACAGGAAUGAAUAAGGUGUGUUUAUGAUGCCAUAAGUUAUGUAAUAGUGUAGGGGGAUAAGGUGAAUAAAUGACAAGAGGUUUAAUAAGAAUUGAAAUAAAGAUAUGUUUAAGGUUAGCAAUAGAAUUAAAGGCAUACUUAGGAACCUAAUGAUAAGAGAAAGAACAAUAAUGAAGGGUACCGAGUUUCUGACUCAAAGACGACAAUAGAGAUAAGUUACAUACCCUAACCUUGUAAAGUGUUUUAGUCGAACAGAAGGUAACAAAUUACAUAAAUCAAAAGUCUCUAUGAAGAAGGAAAUGAAAUAAGAUGAUCGAGGGAGAUUAACAACCCGACGUUGAGGAGAAUUCGAGGACGAAUUCUUUUAAGUGGGGGAGACUGUGACACCCAGUACCCUCGUAUAUAAGUCAAUAUGACCUUAUCAACUAGACAAAGGGUCAAUGGAUGCUAAUCUAAGUGCCAAAGGAUAGAGACAGGUGAAAAGAGUAAUUUAAGAUAAAAUAUUCUACAUGCAAGGAAAUAAUGAUAAAAUAAUAAUAUUCUUAUCGGCGAAAAAUUUACGAGAUAAAAGGUGAUUUGGAUGUGAAUCAAGGCAAAGUAAGAUGUUUUGGAGCUCUAGAAGGCUUGUGAAAAAUUUUGGAAUAAAAUAAUAUUUUAUUAAUCAAAUAAUAUUAAAUUAUUAAUAUUUUAUUCAGUGUCAAAAUUUUUCAUGAAGGAGAAAUACAUGGUCAAUCUAAGUGGGGGAGAAGAAGGAUAAGGAAACUAUAGAAAAAAAAUGACGUUAAUGGGGCCCGUGUGUCUUUAAUAAAUAAAGCUAGCGCAGGUAAGUAAAUAUUUAAAUAUUACAGUGUUAUUGCGUUGAAUCAUAAAUUUGAUAUUUUAUUGGUAUAAGUGUUAAGGAAGAAAAAUGGAAAGAAAUUGGAAUUAAAAGAUUGUGGGAGGAUACAAUUAAAAAGGGUCAAAACCUUAGAGGGCAAAACGAUAAUUUUCCAUAAAGCUUGGUCAAAGCUUCCAAAGUAAGCUUUGACUCUCCAUCCUUAUCCCAUGGUCGGCCAUUGUGUUCAAGGAUCAUCUUCCUUCUUCAUCUUCUCCCAACGCCAUUGUUGUUCCUCCACCAUAAAAAUCAAUAUUUUCAUUUUCUUUUCCUUGUUUUCUUUUCUUUCCUUUUCUUUUCUUACUCAUUCCUUCUCCUAACUUCCUGGGCAUCAAACCUACAGCUUCUAACCCCAAUUUCCAGCACAUCUAAACCCUAAGAGAGAGAAAGAAAAAUCUCUCUUCCUUUCCUUUAUUUUCUAUUUCUACUCCACUUUGAACAACACUUGGAUUUUUGGCUUCAAAUCUUUAUUUUUAAGGCUAAAAGGUAUAUAUUUUCAAUCUUUGAAUUUUUGAAUUUAUGGGUUUGUAAUUUUUAGACUUUAUUUUCUAAGUUUCUUUAAAUUUUCUUUCCUUGAAAUUGCUAGGUUUAGUUGAUCUUUAUACCUUCAAGCACCAAGGUAAAGAAACUUCAAACUUGAACAAUUAGUUUAAUGGGUUUAUGAAUUAGACUAGAAUUCUAAGUUAAAAGUUGGGUUAGAGUGUAGAUUGUAUAUUGUAUAUUUAUUAGAAUUAUUAAAUUCAAAUUAUGACUUGAUGGAGGUUGUUAUGGCUUAUUGGUAAAUAUAGGUUUUAACGGUAUUUUGGGACUACCUGGAUUAAGACGUUGUGGCAACUAUUUUUAUAAGGUGGCAUUAAGGUGAGUGUACUUGCAUUAAAAUGUUUUGGAAUAAAUGAUUAUAUGCUUGAUUGAACCACUUGACAUAUUUUAUUGGUUUUUCUUUAAAAUUUACAUGGGAACAAGCCCUUGAUGAAACGUUGUAUGUUGUGAAUGUGUAAUAUGAUGAAUCCUUGUACUCCUAUAUUAUGUUGAUAUAUAUAUGUUGUGUAUUGAUAGUUAAUAUUGUGUGAUAAUUAUAACUACACAUGUGCAGUGUGGGAGUGCACAUGCCGGUGAUAACGUGGUGCGAGUGUGUGAAUGAUGAUAUUACCUGUGCACGAUGUGGGGCUGCACACGAUGGCAUUAGCUAUGCGUGAUAUGGGGGUGCACACGAUGGCAUUAGCUGUGUGCAAUAUGGGGGUGCACAGAUGACUUUGGCUAUGUGCGGUGUGGCAGUGCACAUGAGCUGGGUGAGGCGGUGGUGGUAUACGUGUUUAUAUAUAUAUAUUUACUAUAUAGAGAGAGAUUUGGAAUUAAAAUGUGAUUACAUUGAUUGUUGAAACUUGAUUAUUGUCAAAUGUGUUUAAUCUGAUUUUCGUUGCAAUAGGAUUGGAUUUUUAUAACAAUGAAAAUUCCCCAAAUUUCAUCUUCCCAAAAAUUUUGCUGCAGUGAAAAUGCCUUUUCACUGCAGCAAAAAACUCUCGAGUUGAUGGCCUUAACCCUUGCUCUGGAUUGUCGCUGCAGCGAAAAUGCAUUCUUACCGCAGUGAGAAACUCUCGCUCUACUAUGCUUGCCUUGCUUGAACUUCCUAAAUGUCUUGAAAUGAGUUGAAAAACAGCACGGCGUCGAGUUUUGUUCAUAAUAUACAAAAUUGCAUUGUUUUUAAACAAGUGCAUCAUGUUUUCAAAAAGCUCUCCGUAUAGUUUACUUGUUCCCUUCCUGUGUUCACUCACUGGGGUUAUACUCAUCCUUUUCAACUUCAUGUUUUAGUUUUCAGGUUUGAAGAUAGUUGGAUCUUAGGUAGAGGCGUUUCCUCCUAUUCAUCUUACGGUAGGUUACCAUAACACUCCAUGAUAGUAUCCACGCCAGAGUCACUCUGCUGAUGGUCAAGGUCUAUUGUAUGUGUACAUGGCUAUUUAAAUAUAAUUCAUGAGUUUGGUUGUAAACACCGCAUUUUUGGCUUGAAUAGUAAUACUACCACAGGUUGGCACAUGGUAAUAUUAUUUUGUGAAUGGUAUUGGUCAGUUGCUAUGAUUUGUUUUUGAAAGGAAAUUAUUUCGAAAACAAUGAAUGAAGAACCUUAGAGGGAAAAGAGGGACAGGUGGUCUAAUAAAUAAGUUUUCAUAAAAAAGCUUGCUUAGGCCCGAUGGGCUAUGCCUAUUAGGUCCAUGCAUCGGUCAUGGCCCGGGAUUGGGCUGUGACAAGGACGUUUCCCUUUUUUCUUUUCUCAAGCAUCGCUUAGCAGGGAAGAUUUGGCCAUUGCUCUUGGUGGUUUUUGACUUAGGGUUUGAAAAGUUUGAAAGGAGGAGGAGUUCUAAUUUUGAAGGGGCAAUUGAAGAAAAGAGAAUGUGAAAGGGAGAUGAGAAGUUAAGAGAAGUUAUUAAUUUCUCUCUUUACAUAAGGUUUGAUAUCUCCUUUUAAAAAUUCAAAAUUUCAGCCUCUAUUUUACUUUUUCAAUUUUCAAUAGUUAGACAAUUUUCCUUUCCUCCGUUCUCCCUUUUUUUUUAAUAUUUUAGCUUUUUAAUUGAUUAAAUCUUACAUUUAACCAAUUAAGUCAAGCACUUUGAAUAUAUUGAUCAACACAGAAUGUUUUUAAUCUGUUAAAUGAUUUUCUUAACCGACUAAGUCUCCACUGACUUGUUUAAUUUGUUUAAUUAUGCAAAUGGUAACUUAAUCUGUAUAUGCCUUUAGUUUAAGAAAUAUUUCUAACAGAUUACUUAAGUUGUGUAAGGUGAACUUAAAAGAUUUACCUAAAACUUAUUUACAUUAAGCAUCCCUAAAUCUCUUCUAAUUUCGCAAAAUCGUUCUUCACUUAAGGGUUUUGUGAGGAUAUCAGACAAUUGAUGCACAGUAUCAACAAAUUCAAUCUUAAUAUCUCCUUUAAGAACAUGGUCUCUAAUAAAAUGAUAUUGAAUUUUUAUGUGUUUGGUUCUAAAGUGUUGAACUAAAUUCUUUGAGAUGUUUAGAUCACUUGUGUUAUCACAAAAUAUGGGUAUAUUAUGCAUGGUUAUUCCAAAAUCCUUUAACUAUUAUCUAAUCCAUAUAAUUUGUGCACAACAACUUCCUAAGGAUAUGUAUUCUACUUCAACUAUAGAUAAUGCAAUAGAGUUUUGCUUUUUACAUGACCAAGAUACAAGCAUAUUUCCAAGAAAUUGACAAGUGCCAUUAGUGUUUUUCCCAUCUGUUUUACUUCCAGCAAAAUCAGCAUCAGAAUAUUCAACAAGAUUAAAAGAUGAUCCUUUUGGAUACCAUAAUCCUAAACUUUGUGUAUCCAAAAGGUAGCUAAAGAUUCUUUUCACAACAGUCAAAUGUGAUUCUUUGGGCUGUGAUUCGAAUCGUGCACACAAGCAUACACUAAACUGUAUGUCAAGUCUGUUGGCAGUUAAGUAGAGUAAAGAGUUGAUCAUACCUCUAUAGAGCUUUUGAUCAACACUUUUUCCCUUUUCAUCUUUAUCAAGCUUGAUGAAAGGACUUCUUGGCGUGCCAAUGACUUUAGCUUCAUCACAUCAAACUUUUUCAACAUUUCUUUUAUGUACCUUUCUUGAUUAAUAAAGAUACCAUCCUUAUAUUGUUUAAUUUGAAGACCAAAAAAGAAUUCAGUUCACCCAUCAUGCUCAUUUCAAACUUACCCUGCAUUUCUUCAGCAAAGUUCUUAUACAAACUUCAUCAAUAGCACUAAAUACAAUAUCAUUCACAUAAAUUUGAACUAUAAUUAAAUCAUUCAAGCAUUUCUUAAUAAAUAAGGUUGUAUCAACACUUCCUUUAAUGUAACUUUUUUGAACUAGAAAUUUUGAAAGUCUUUCAUACCAAGCUCUUGGAGCUUGUUUUAGUCCAUAUAAGUCCUUAUGCAAUUUAUAAACAUAGUUAGGUUUUUCAAAAUCUUCAAAACCAAGAGGUUGUUUGACAUAAACUUCUUUUUGAAUAUGGCCAUAUAACAAUGCACUUUUCACAUCCAUUUGAAAUAGAUUGAAAUUCAUGAAACAUGCAAAUGCAAGUAAUAAUUUUAUGGCUUCUAACCUGGCAACAGGAGCAAAGGUUUCAUCAUAGUCAAUACCUUCUUCUUGAUUAUAUCCUUGAGCAACUAGCCUAGCUUUGUUUCUUGUUACAUUACCUUGUUCGUCCACCUUGUUUUUAAACACCCAAUUUGUACCAACAAUUGGGUGAUUGAAUGGCCUUGGAACUAAUGUCCAGACUCUGUUUCUUUCAAAUUGUUCAAGCUCUUCUUGCAUGGACAACAUCCAGCUUUCUUCCUUUUCUACUUCUUUGAAGUUUUUAGGCUCAACUUGUGAAAUGAAGGCUACGUAUUCACAUGUUUCUUUAACUUCUCUUCUUGUUUUAACUCUUUCUAAAAGAUCACCAAUAAUCUGCUCUUGUGGGUGGUCUUUAACAUAUUUCUAGCUCUUUGAAAUAUCAUUGUGUUGGUUUUCAACUCUUUGUAGAUCUUCUAAAGAUGAAACUUCUGCUUCUCUUUCAUGGGAGUUUUCUUUACUAUUUUUAUUGUUCUCCAGACUCAUUUAUUCCAUUUGUUUCUCAAGAUCCUCUGCAUCAUCAUCAUCAACAAAAGCUUUCUUUUGCACAGCAUUAGUUUCAUCAAAAACUACAUGAAUAGACACUUCAAUCAUUAAAGUUCUUUUGUUAAAGACUCUAUAUGUCUUUGAAUUUAGUGCAUAUCCUAGAAAAAUUACCUCAUCACUCUUAACAUCAAAAUUUUCAAGAAUGUGUCUUCCAUUAUUUAAAACAAAACAUUUACUAUUGAAACUUCUACAAUGAGAAAUAUUUGGUUUUCUGCAUUUGUAUAAUUCAUAAGGAGUUUUAGAUAUCAUGGACCUUAUUGCAACUCUAUUUAAAAUGUAGGCUGCUGUAUUAAUAGCUUCUGCCUAAAAAUGCUUUGGUAAAUUGUUCUCACAAAGCAUGGUUUCAGCCAUUUCCUUUAAGGUUCGAUUUUUUUUCUCAACAACUCCAUUUUGUUGAGGUGUUCUAGGUGCGAAAAAGAUGUGAUCAAACCCUUUUUUAUUACAAAAAUUUUCAUAUUUAUCUUCUUUAAACUCACCACCAUGAUCACUUCUAAUGCAGAUAAAAAGGAGUCCUUUUUCAUUUGAACUUUCUUACAGUGAGUUGCAAAUGUAGGUAAUGCAUCAUUUUUGUAAGCAAGGAAGUAGACCCAAGUAUAUCUAGAAUAGUCAUCAACUAUCACAAAACUAUAUGAUUUACCUCCUAAGCUAUUUAUGUUAAUUGAACCAAAUAGAUCUAUAUGCAACAGUUCAUGAGGUCUAGAGGUUGAAAUGAUCUUUUUGGCUUUGAAUGAUGUUUUAACUUGUUUCCCUAAUUAACAAGCAUCACAAAUCUGAUCAUUUACGAAUUUAAUUUUAGGCAAUCUAAUAACCAAUUUUUUUCUCACUAGUUUUGAAAUGGUAUACAUGCUUGCAUGUCCAAGUCUUUGAUGCCAUAACUAGCUAUAAUUCUCAUCAUUUGUCAUAAGACAUGUCUCACAAUCUAGCUCAAGACCUUCAAGAAAUAUAACAUACAUGUCUUUGAUUCUUUUUCCUAUAAAUGCAAUUUUGUUGGUGCUAAUAUCUAAAACUUCAUAUUUAUGUGAAUCAAAACAUACUUUAAAGCCUUUGUCACACAAUUGACUAAUACUUAAUAUAUUAUGCUUUAAGCCUUUAACAAACAAAACAUGAUUAAUUUGAGCAUGAGAAUUUUUACCAAUAGUUCCUAUACCAUGAAUUCUGCAUUUUGAAUCAUCUCCAAGUGAUACUGUACCACCUUUUUUUUUAUCUAGUUGAGCAAACAGCAUUUCAUUUCCUAUCAUAUGCCUUGAGCAGCCACUAUCCAUGUACCAUGGUUGCUUCUGCUUCAUUUGAGCUUUUAAACAUUUAUCCUCUCAGUUUAGCUCAACCUGCAAAACAAAUUUUCAGUCUUUCCUAAUAGGUACCCAUACCUUGACGGGUCCUUGAAGGUUAAUUGAUACAUGAAAGCCUUUUGGUACACAAAUCAUUUUUGUUCUUUGUGUGUUUUUUCUUCUAUGACAUUCAUAGGAAAGAUGACCUAUUUUGCCACAUACAUAACACUUAGAUGAGAAAACAUGAGAAUUUCUCUUAAAGGUUGUAUUUAUUCUUGAUGUUUCUUUUGUUAAGUCCUUAAAAGCAAUGUUUUCAUCAAUUGCCUUUUGCAAUGCCUCAUUUUUGUUAUCAAGGUCCAAUUUCAAAAGUUCAAAAUCUGUUUUAGAAUGUUCUAGGUUAGUUUGAAGAAAAUUUCUCAGUUCAAAAAAGAAAGUUGAAUUCAUAUCUUAACUUUUCUAAUUCAUUCUCAAGAGAUGUAGUCUUUCUUUUUAGGACUUUAUAUUUUAGUGCAAGUUUUUCAAACUCAUCAUAUAGGCAUUCAUAUUCUUCUUGAAACUCAUCAAUUGAAAUAUCACAAAGGGUAAAGGAUACCUCGAAUUCAUCAUCUUUGGCCAUCAAGCAUAGGUUUGCUCUUUCUUCCACUUUCUCUUCAUCAACUUCUAAACUUGAUGUAUCACUGUCAAACCAAGUUGCAACCAUCAUAGCUUUCUUUGAUUUUUUGUUUUUCUUGGGAGUUUCCUCCUUCAGUAAUGAGCAUUCUGAUUUGAAGUGUCCAAGUUUCUUGCACUCAAAACGUAUAAUUUUUUUUCUUGUUAAAUUCAUUUUUGUUUUUGACCUUCCAUGAGGAACCUUAAUCUUUUUUGUAGCUUUUCUUAGCAAGUAUUUUAUCACUUUGUCCCAUAAGUUUUAUAAAUCUUCUAGCUAACAUGGCCAACUCUUCAUCAUCAUCACAUGAUAGAUUCUCUAACUUUUCUUCAAGAGUGCUUGCUUUCAAAGCAAUACUUUUCUUCAUUUCUAUGGCUUCUCUCUUAUCUUUUUCUUCUUCUUCUUCUUCUUUAAGCUCCAGCUCAUGAGUGAGAAGAAAGUCACAGAUUUCAUCAAGAGUGAUGACAUUCAAAUCUUUAACCUCUCGAAUAACAGUCACUUUUGGCUUUCAAUUCUUAAGUAGGCUUCUAAGAAGUCUUUUGAUAAGUUUAUGUUCAAGAAUUGGCUUACCUAAUGACUAAGUUUGUUGGUGAUGUUAGUAAACCUAUCAAACAUGCUGGUGAUAUCUUCAGUAGGUUCCAUCUUGAACAUUUCAUAGUUGUGGGUUAGGAGAGUAAUUUUGGACUCCUUAACUUGUGAAGUCCCUUCAUGAAUGAUUCUAAGUUUGUCCCAAACUUGUUUAGCAGUGAUGCAACUUGACACUUUGUCAAAUUCUGUGGUAGUCAAGGCACAAUGUAAAGUAUUAAUUGCCUUAAAAUUUGUUUGAACUUUUUUUGUUUCAGCUUCAUUCCAUUCAACUCUCAACUUAGGAAUCCUUUCACUGGUCAUAACAUUUGUGGUCGAAGGGAUAUAAGGUCCAUCAAUGAUAACAUCUCACAUUUCAUAAUCUAUUGCUUUUAUGUAAAUAGACAUUUCAGUGCUCCAAUAAGAGUAGUUCGAUCCAUCAAACAGAAGUGGUUUAUUUGUGGACUCUCCCUCAGCAAAAAUAGAUUUUUGAAGAACCAUUUGGAUCUUCCUUAAUGAUGUUAAGCCUUAAGAAUCAGGGUUAGAUUCUAAUACCACUUGUUGGUCCCUAAGUGUGUGCUAGAAAAGGGUGAAUUGCACUUUUUAAAUGUCACUAAAGUUAACUUCAAAUUUUGAGCUUAUUAAAAUUAAAUGAUGAAAAGUUGAGACGUAGAUGGAAGAAUGAUUUAAAGGAGAAUGAAAUGAAGAAAUAAAAUAGGGUAGAAAAUGCAUAAAGAUUUAUAGUGGUUCAGUCUCUUUGACCUACAUCCACUGCCUCGAUCUUCUAAUCAAAGAUUUUUAAAUCAAUUCACUAGAAUCAGUGGAUUUCCCAAGCAUCCACCAAGUUUUUACAAUGGUUUUUCACUGGCUCAACCACAACCUUUCAAAAAUGGUUUUUCACGGGAUCAACCAAAACCCAAAAUCUAACUUUUCUAAGGUUGAGUUAGAACCUACAACAACAACCAAGCUAACAUAAGCUUGACUAAUCCCCUUAAAGUGCUUCGCACACUCUAAGUAAUCAAGGAAUACAGAUAUGAAGAUGUACCUAUGAUCACUAACCUGAUCUAAAUGGUACAAAAUGAGGUACUAAACUCUAUUACAAAGAUUGGAGUGAAACAUAAGAAGAAUUGAGAGGAUUUUUGCUAAUUUUUGUCUCUUUUUGUUCUUGGAAGCAUCUCAUAAUUUUCUUAGCCUUUAGAGAUGUCUUUUAUUGUAAAACCCGACCCUAUAAACACAUGUCAUGACAUACAUGCACUGAGUAGCAUGUUAUUACACUAGCAAAGUUCCUAAGAAUAAACGAAAUCCGGUAUUGUACCUAACGGUACACUUGAAUUGAUUUAACCUCGAACUAGUUCAAAUAGGAAUCGUAUGAUAAAAUUUAAUAUUUUACAGUCCAAGAAUGACUAAAAAUGAUUGUUCGGAGUUCGAGGGUUCAUUUGGGGAAAAAAUUAAAAAUUUUGAUGUUCAAGGGUAAUAUCGUUAUUUUGCCACCUAAGAUAAUAAUUUCAUCAUGGAGUGAAAUUUUUGACCAAGAUUAACUAUUUGGAGUAUAAUUUAAUGAUAGGAAGUGAAAAAUUUCAAUUCGGGUAAUUUUCGAAACAUAGGGCAAAACAAUAAUUUUAUCGCCUAGGGGUAAAAAUCAUAAUUUUCACCACCCAAAACUUGUCAAAAUCAUAGGAUUUACUUAUUUUUGGUAUGAAUAACUAUGGUAUGUUAAGUGGUGAAAAAUUGAAGUUUAAAGGAUAAAAUUUUAAAAACGGGCCAAUGAAAAAGUGACACAUGGCACUUUUUAAUUGUUUAAUAUUAUUUUAAAGGAAAAUCAGCCCAUUUAAACCCCACAUCAGGUGAUGGCCGGCCAUAAGGAGAAAAGAAGAGGGAAAAUAAAGAGGAAAGGAAGAAAAGAGAAAAACCAAAGGAAAACUAGAAAAUUCAAAGGGGAAUUCGCGUUUUUUGUCUGUUUACGUAUCUAACGGUAAGAUUUUUCGACUUUAGCUUGCUUUCUACCUUUCCUAUGCCUUUGUUUUCAUUUAGCAUGCUUGAGGAGAGAGAUCAAAAAGUGAUACCAAGAGCCGGCCGAAUUUCAAGGGGGAGGAUUUUGAAUUUUUAGGUUUUGAUUCUUAGUUAAAUUGGUAGUUUUAGUUAGUUAAAUGUGUAUAGAAAUCAAAUUGGGCAAGAAAGCAUGAAAUUCUCACAAUACCCACCCUUGGCCGAAUAUUCAAUGAUGUACAAUGAUGAUGAACUGAUUUUUAUUCUAAGUGAAAUGAAGAGAAAAUGAUGAAAAAUGGUUAAAUGUGAUAGAAAAACAAAGUGAAAAAUUAACCGAGUUAAUGUCCCAUUUUUGACCAAAUUUUCCAAGGAGGAAAGUGAGCUGAUUUUGGUGAUUUUAGAAGGUUAUUGGCUGAUAUUUAAUGGUUAGAAAUGUUGGAGAGAAAAUGGGACAAUUUAGAGCUAAAAUGGAGCGCGUUAGCAAUUUAUCGGGUAAAGUGCCAAAAAUAGGUUAAUACCGCGUUUAAGCCGUUUUAGGCUAUUGCAUUUCAUACCAUGCAUUAGUAUAGGAUUUAAGUCAAUUAUAUAGUGAUUUAGCAUCAAUGUGGUGAAUUGUGUAAUUUUUGCAAUGUGUCUAGGAGGAGAGCCUUCCGGUAAAGGCAAGAAAGUCGUACCCGAUGAAUAGUGAUAGGGGCACCUAGAAAGCAUUUAAUUUGUACAAAUAAUGAGUAAACCUAUUAUUAUUGUAAAUUAUCUAGAUAUUAUUUUUAAAUGCUCUUUAUGUAUUUUAUGAAACGAAAAUGAAAUUAAAAUGGGACUUUUGAUGUUUUAGAAAUAAAUGUGACAAAUAAAUAUAUUGUGUUGAUUAUCUGAAAUAAGAAACUUUUGAUUAUGAAAUUGAGUAAAUGAGAAGCUGCCAAUUGUCUUGAAAAAUAUCUUUUCCUAUGAAUGGCUUAUGAUAUAUGAGUAUAUGUGGCUAUAUUUUAUAAUUGCAUUGAAAAUUUAUGUAAGCUGUCUUUUACUAUGUAGGCUGGGUAAAUAAAUAAAGCCACGUUAUACUGUCAAAAGUUUAUUAAAGUUGGUGGGUUUAGUCACUGCAGUGAUGGGUUUCCAUGGACUGCCUAUUAAAAGGACACGAUAAACCCGGUUAUAUAGUUACUCCAGUUGUAGAGGCGAGGAGGGUAACUCCCGGGUAAUGUUAGAGCUCACUUCAUGUCGAACCCCCACGUGAAUGUAUAACUCGGCCAACGCCAAGGAACGGUUUGUUUUCAAAACUAACAUGUGUUUAACAUGUAAAUAUCUUAACAACCUUGGCGGACUCGGUUAGAUGCCUCGGCCAAGGUAUCCCCGAGGACUAGUUUUUGGCUUGAGCCUUGUUUCUAAGAAAAGUCAUAGGCCUUAACAACUGUUUUGGUAAAUUACAAAUAUUUUAUGGUUUAAGAAUUAAAUUGAAAACCUUAUGAAAUGGUUUGUGAUUUGUUGUUUAAACUUGCCUCCAUUUUACUCGCCUUUAGAUAUUUAUGAUAAUGUCUGUUUACUCAUUGGGAUUGCAAAAUCUCACCCACCUCCUUUCCAAAUAUUAUAGGCCUGUGGUAGCUUGUAGAUACCCAAUUUUGUCGAGGAUUCCAGUUGACCCCUCUAUCUCACAAACAGUAGGCUACUAUCACCAACACUUGGUGUAUUUACGGGCCACUUGUCAUUGUAAUUAUUAUUAUACAUUAUAAGUUUGUAAAUUAUUGUAUGUAUGAAUUUAUUUUACUUCCACGUUACAAAAGAUUUUUACACGUGUUUCUAUAAAUAUGUUUUAUAUAAAAAUUUUAUAUUUUAAUCAAUAUUUUGAAUAGUAAUAUUUUUCUAUAAAUCCUUUUAAAAUAAUUUUGUCUUUUGAUUUACUUGAGCCGGAAAUGACUGGUAAUUGUUUAAAACAGAAUGUUUAACAACGAUUGCUCACCGGAAAGGCAAGAAACUGAUACGUAAGCCUUGCGAGGUUCCGAUUGGCAUUUCGGGUAAUGAGUGUAAAUUGGGAUGUCACGGCGGUUGUCAUGGGCCAGAGGGAGGUUUCAGGUCGUGACAAUUCGGUUGGUAUCAAAGCUUUCGGUUUAAAAGCUUAUGGUUUUUUAAGAAUUUUUUUAUUUUUAAAGUUCUUGGAUUUAAAGUUAUUUUAAAAUAAUCUACAAUGUCAGUGUGGCCCAAUUAAGAUUAGUAAGUUGCAUGUAGUUGCAUAUAGAGUCUUAAGUCGUCUUAACCAAUUCUGUUCUUUUGUAGAUCAUUAUGCCUCCUCGACGUGAGCUACCACCUAUCACUAGAUCUACCGGUAAGGGAAGAGGUCGCAUCAGACAGAGUCGGUCAGAUUCCAUAGAAAAGGAGUUGGCUGGGUCUUCUUUUAGAGCAGUUCCUACUGCUGAGUCUAUUAACAUUCUUAUACCUCCUCCACCACCUGUUGCUACUCCUAACGUACCUGCCAUGUCACCCGAGGCAGCUCAGGCAUUAGCGACUUUUCUCGCUACUCUUACAAGCCAAGCUCAGGCUGGUCCAGUUCCACCCACUAUUUCCCCUAUAAUAGCCCCAGUACCACCACUUCCUAUUCCACUCCAAACACCGGACAUCUCCAUUUCUAAGAAAUUGAAGGAAGCUAGACAAUUAGGUUGCGUCUCGUUUACUGGUGAGCUAGAUGUGAUCGUAGUUAGGGAUUGGGUUAUUUAGGUAUAGGAGACACUGACAGAUAUGGAAUUAGAUGAUGAGAUGAAAUUGAAAGUGGCUACACGAUUAUUUGAGAAGAGAGCAUGUACCUGGUGGAGUUCAGUAAAGUCUAGCUCUCCUAUACCGCUGACUUGGAUAGAUUUUCUCCGAGAGUUCGAUGGUCAGUACUACACCUAUUUCCAUCAGAAAGAGAAAAAGAGAGAAUUUCUGAGCUUGAAACAAGGAAACAUGACCAUUGAGGAGUAUGAAACUUGUUUUAACGUGUUGAUGUCUUAUGUACUUAAGUUGGUGAAAUUGGAGCAAGACUAAGUAAACUACUUUGAGGAGGGACUUCGUAAUAAGAUACGGGAGUGUAUGAUAGUGACUGGCAAGGAGUCGUAUAAGGAAGUUGUGCAAAUGGCCUUACGGACUGAGAAGCUCGCCACUGAGAAUAGACGGAUCCGAGCUGAGUUUACAAAGAAAAGAAAUCCGCCUACGUUCCCAGGUCAGUCUUCAAAGAGAGGCAGAGAUUCGACAUCUACUGCAGGAAGUACUACCUCAGCAUUUGUGGCAUCCACUAGACCUUCAUCUCAGCAGUCACAGCUGAGAUCUUCUAGAUUUGAUCGGCCAGUGAUGAGUAAUCAGAGGGGGACUUCAAGAGGAUUGGACAGAUGUCGUAAUUGCUGAGGAAUUCAUGUUGGGUCAUGUAGAAAGCCUGUAAGAUAUUUUCAAUGCGGCCAACAGGGGCAUAUCCAGAGAGAUUGUCCUCAGUUGAGACGGGGUACAGUAGCUACUUCUACUCCUCCGACUCAUCCUAGUAUACCGCGGAGAGACACUUCGGGAUCAUAGUCCAGACAGGGCUCGGUGAUACGGUCAAGCAUUGGGAGUAAUACCCCAAAGUGGCUAUCUUCCAGACCGCAGCCCCAGAUUUCGAUCAGGGUUUUUGCAGGACUAAGGAUGAAGCCCGAGUUUGACCUAGCACAGUGAUAAGUACUAUGAUUGUGUUUGAUAGAUAUGCACAUGUUUUGAUAGAUUCGGGCUCCGAUAGAUCAUACGUGAGCAUAUCAUUUGCAUCAUUCUCAGAUAGGAACCUGUCACCAUUAGAGGAUGAGAUUAUAGUGCAUACUCCUCUAGGUGAGUGGUUAGUAAGAAAUACAUAUUCUAGAGACUGUGGUAUUAAAGUUGGGAAAGAAGAAUUUAUGGGUGAUUUAAUCCCUUUGGAGAUUCGGGACUUCGAUUUGAUCUUGGGUAUGGAUUGGUUGUCCACUCAUCGAGCAAAGGUGGAUUGUUUUAAGAAGGAAGUGACUCUCCAGAGUUCAGAGGGAGUAGAAGUUGUAUUUACAGGGGAGCGUCGAGUAUUACCAUUUUGUGUAAUCUCGGCCCUCAAAGCUUUGAAAUUGGUGCAAAAGAGAUAUCUGGCAUACUUGGCUCACGUGAUUGAUAUAUCAAGGGAGGAACCUAAGUUAGAGAAUGUCCCCGUAGUUAGUGAGCUCCCUGAUGUAUUUCCUGAUAGAUUACCGGGACUUCUUCCCGAUCAUGAGAUCGAAUUCACCAUUGACUUACUUCCGGGUACUGCCCCUAUCUCUAUUCCUCCAUAUAGAAUGGCUCCGGCAGAGUUGAAGGAGUUGAAAGAACAGUUGAAAGAGUUAAUGGAUAAGGGUUUUAUACGCCCUAGUACAUCUCCGUGGGGUGCACCGGUUUUAUUUAUGAAAAAAAAAGAUGGUACCUUUCGGUUAUGUAUAGAUUACCGAUAGCUUAACAAAAUGACCAUUAAGAACAAGUAUCUGUUGCCAAGGAUUGAUGAUCUUUUCGAUCAAUUACAGGGAGCUACAGUGUUUUUUAAGGUUGAUUUGAGGUCUGGGUAUCAUCAGUUGAGGAUUAAAGAACAAGAUGUACCCAAGACAGCGUUCAGGACUCGAUACGGUCAUUAUGAGUUCUUGGUCAUGCCUUUCGGGUUAACUAACGCACCGGCAGUUUUUAUGGAUCUCAUGAACAGGGUGUUCCACCCUUAUUUGGACAAGUUUGCUAUUAUGUUCAUUGAUGACAUCCUGGUUUACUCGAGAGAUAAUGAUGAGCACGCUACCCACUUGUGUAUAGUAUUACAGACUUUGCGGGAAAGACAAUUGUAUGCAAAGUUUUUGAAGUGUGAGUUUUGGUUAUAGAAAGUGGUAUUCUUGGGACACUAGUAUCAAGAGCUGGAAUAUAUGUUGAUCCCAAGAAGAUAGAGGCAAUUUUACAAUGGGAGCAACCUAAGACAGUGACGGAGAUUCGUAGUUUCCUCGGAUUAGCCGGUUAUUAUCGGAGGUUUGUUCAGGGGUUUUCCUUAAUAGCAGCUCUUUUGACCCGUCUAACUCGUAAGGGAGUUAAGUUUAAGUGGGAAGAAGUGUGUGAAAGUCGAUUUCAGGAGCUAAAGAACCGGUUAACCUCCACUACCAUUUUAACACUUCCUGUUAACGGAAAAAAAUUUGUGGUGUACAGUGAUGCAUCUAAGUUGGGGUUAGGGUGUGUGUUGAUGCAGGAUGAAAAAGUUGUGGCUUAUGCUUCUAGAUAGCUAAAGAGGCAUGAAGCAAAUUACCCUACCCAUGAUUUAGAGUUAGCAGCAGUGGUGUUUUCUUUAAAAAUCUGGAGGCAUUAUUUGUAUGGUGAGCAUUGUCAAAUAUUUACGGAUCACAAAAGUUUAAAAUAUUUGCUCACUCAGAAGGAGCUUAAUUUGAGGCAAAGGCGAUGGUUGGAGUUGAUAAAAGAUUAUGACUUGGUGAUAGACUAUCAUCCCGAAAAGGCGAACGUUGUAGCUGAUGCCUUAAGUCAUAAGUCUUCAUCGUCUUUAGCAGCACUUCAGAGUUGUUAUUUUCCAGCUUAUUAGAGAUGAAAUCUCUUGGGGUCCAGUUGAGAAAUGGUAAGGAUGGAUCCUUAUUGGCAAGCUUCAUUGUGCGACCUUCGUUGCUCAAUCAGAUCAAGGACAUUCAGAGGUCUGAUAAUGAGUUAAGAAAAGAAAUUCAAAAAUUGACCGAUGGAGGAGUCAGUGAGUUCAGAUUUAGAGAGGAUAGCAUCUUGGUGUUUAGGGAUCGAGUUUGUGUUCUUGAGGGAAACUAGCUGAGACAGGCGAUCAUGGAAAAAGCCCAUUCAUCUGCCUAUGCAUUACAUCCUUGAAGCACCAAGAUGUAUAGGACUAUCAGGGAGAAUUAUUGGUGGCCAGGUAUGAAGCGAGACGUAGCAAAAUUCGUAGCAAAGUGUCUCGUAUGUUAGCAAGUUAAGGCGGAGCAUCAGAAACCAGCAGGUACACUUCAGUUUUUACCUAUUCCCGAGUGGAAAUGAGAGCAUGCAACUAUGGAUUUUGUUUUGGGACUACCGCAGACACAGAGGGGAAAGGAUGCGAUCUGGGUAAUCAUAUAUCGGUUGACUAAGUCCGCUCACUUUUUAGUUGUCCAUAGUACAUACUCUAUUGAGAAGCUGGCUCAGCUCUAUAUAGAUGAGAUUAUGAGGUUACAUGGAGUUCCCGUUUCUAUAGUGUCAGACCGAGAUCCUCAAUUCACUUCUCGAUUUUAGCCGAAAUUUCAAGAAGCUCUCGAAACCAAAUUGAAAUUUAGCACUACUUUUCACCCACAGACGGAUGGUCAAUCAGAAAGGACUAUCCAGACUAUGGAGGAUAUGUUGAGGGCUUGUGUCAUGGAUUUUCUUGGGAGUUAGGAUAGACACUUGCCGUUAGUGGAAUUUGCUUACAACAACAGCUUCCAGUCUAGCAUUGGUAUGGCACCGUACGAAGCUUUAUAUGGAAGGAAAUGUCGUACUCCACUUUGUUGGGAUGAAGUGGGUGAAAGAAAGUUAGUUAGUGUGGAAUUGAUCGAUCUAACUAAUGACAAGAUCAAGGUUAUACGAGAGAGGCUAAAGGUAGCCCAGGAUAGGCAGAAGAACUAUGCAGAUAAACGGAGAAAAGACUUGGAGUUUGAGAUCGAUGAUAGAGUUUUUUUUAAGGUUUCUCCGUUGAAAGGUGUGAUUCGAUUUGCGAAGCGGGAAAAGCUUAACCCGAGGUAUAUUGGACCAUUUUGAAUCAUUGAGAGAAUUGGACCAGUGGCUUAUCGGUUAGAACUACCUCCGAAGUUAGAUCGGAUCCACAACGUUUUCCAUGUCUCCAUGCUUAAGAAAUAUGUACCAGAUCCCUUGAAGCACCUCCGAUCGAGUUGCAUGACGAUUUGAAGUUUGAGGUGCAACCUGUGAGUAUCUUGGAUCGAAAGGAUCGAGUAUUAAGGAACAAGAGUAUUUCAAUGGUCAAAGUAUUGUGGAAAAGUGCUCGAAUGGAGGAAAUGACCUGGGAAGUAGAGCAUCAGAUGAGGAACCAAUACCCGCAUCUAUUUGUCGACUCUGGUAAGUGAAAUUUUGAGGUCAAAAUUUUAUUUUAAGGGGGGUAGAAUUGUAAAACCCGCCCUAUAAACACAUGUCAUGACAUACAUGCACUGAGAGCAUGUUAUUACGCUAAGAAAGCCCCAAAGAAUAGACGAAACCCGGUAUUGUACCUAACGGUACACUUGAGUUGAUUUAACCUCGAACUAGUUCAAAUAGGAAUCGUAUGAUGAAAUUUAAUAUUUUACAGUCCAGGAAUGACUAAAAAUGAUUGUUCGGAGUUCGAGAGUUCAUUUGGGAAAAAAUUGAAAAUUUUGAUGUUUAGGGGCAAAAUCGUCAUUUUGCCACCUAAGAUAAUAAUUUCAUCAUGGAGUGAAAUGUUUUACCAAGAUUAACUAUUUGGAGUAUAAUUUAAUGAUAGGAAGUGAAAAUUUUCAAUUUCAACAAUUUUCGAAACAUAAGGGCAAAACAGUAAUUUUGUCACCUCGGGGUAAAAACUGUAAUUUUCACCACCCAAAACUUUUCAAAAUCAUAGGAUUUACUUAUUUUUGGUAUGAAUAACUAUGGUAUGUUAAGUGGUGAAAAAUUGAACUUUAAAGGAUGAAAUUUUAAAAACGAGCCAAUGGAAAAGGGACACAUGGCACUUUUUAAUUGUUUAAUAUUAUUUAAAGGAAAAUCAGCCCAUUUAAACCCCACAUCAGGUGAUGGCCGGCCAUAAGGAAAAAAGAAGAGAGAAAAUAGAAAGGAAAGGAAGAAAAGAGAAAAACAAAAAAAAAACUAGAAAAUUCAAAGGGGAAUUCGCGUUUUUCGUCCGUCUACUCGUCUAACGGUAAGAUUUUUCGACUUUAGCUUGAUUUCUACCUUUCCUAUGCCUUUGUUUUCAUUUAGCAUGCAGAGAGAUCAAAAAGUGAUACCAAGGGCUGGCCAAAUUUCAAGGGGGAGGAUCUUGAAUUUUUUAGGUUUUGAUUCUUAGUUAAAUUGGUAGUUUUAGUUAGUUAAAUGUGUAUAGAAAUCAAAUUGGGCAAGAAAGCAUGAAAUUCUCACAAUACCCACCCUUGGCCGAAUAUUCAAUGAUGUACAAUGAUGAUGAACUGAUUUUUAUUCUAAGUGAAAUGAAGAGAAAAUGAUGAAAAAUGAUUAAAUGUGAUAGAAAAACAAAGUGAAAAAUUAACCGAGUUAAUGUCCCAUUUUUGACCGAAUUUUUCAAGGAGGAAAGUGAGCUGAUUUUGGUGAUUUUAAAGGGUUAUUGACUGAUAUUUAAUGGUUAGAAAUGUUGGAGAGAAAAUGGGACAAUUUAGAGCUAAAAUGGAGCGCGUUAGCAAUUUAUCGGGUAAAGUGCCAAAAAUAGGUUAAUACCGCGUUUAAGCCGUUUUAGGCUAUUGCAUUUCAUACCAUGCAUUAGUAUAGGAUUUAAGUCAACUAUAUAGUGAUUUAGCAUCAAUGUGGUGAAUUGUGUAAUUUUUGCAAUGUGUCUAGGAGGAGAGCCUUCCAGUAAAAGCAAGAAAGUCGUACCCGACGAACAGUGAUCGGGGCACCUAGAAAGCAUUUCAUUUAUACAAACAGUGAGUAAACCUAUUAUUAUUGUAAAUUAUCUAGAGUUUAUUUUUAAAUGCUUUUUAUGUAUUUUAUGAAACGAAAAUGAGAUUAAAAUGGGACUUUUGAUGUUUUAGAAAUAAAUGUGACAAAUAAAUAUAUUGUGUUGAUUAUCUAAAAUAAGAAACUUUUGAUUAUGAAAUUGAGUAAAUGGGAGGCUGCCAAUUGUCUUGAAAAAUAUAUUUUCCUAUGAAUGGCUUAUGAUAUAUGAGUAUAUGUGGCUAUAUUUUAUAAUUGCAUUGGGAAUUUAUGUAAGCUGUCUUUUACUAUGCAGUCUGGGUAAAUAAAUAAAAGUCACGUUAUACUGUCGAAAUUUUAUUAAAGUUGGUGGGUUUAGUCACUGCAGUGAUGGAUUUUCGUGGACUACCUAUUAGAGGGGUACGGUAAACCCGGUUAUAUAGUUACUCCGAUUGUAGAGGCGAAGAGGGUAACUCCCAGGGUAGCGUUAGAGCUCACUUCACUUCGAACCCCCACGUGAAUGUGUAACUCGGCCAACGCCAAGGAACGGCUUGUUUUCAAAACUAACAUGUGUUUAACAUGUAAAUAUCUUAACAACCUUGGCGGACUCGGUUAGAUGCCUCGGCCAAGGUAUCCUAGAGGACUAGUUUUUGGCUUGAGUCCUGUUUCUAAUAAAAGUCAUAAGCCUUAACAACUGUUUUGGUAAUUACAAAUAUUUUAUGGUUUAAGAAAUAAAUUAAAAACCUUAUGAAAUGGUUUGUGAUUUGUUGUUUAAACUUGCAUCCAUUUUACUCGCCUUUAGAUAUUUAUGAUAAUGUCUGUUUACUCAUUGGGAUUGCAAAAUCUCACCCACCUCCUUUCCAAAUAUUACAGGCCUGUGGUAACUUGUAAAUACCCGAUUUUGUGGAGGAUUCCAGUUGACCCCUCUAUCUCACAGACAAUAGGCUACUAUCACCAACACUUGGUGUAUUUACGGGCCACUUGUCAUUGUAAUUGUUAUUGUACAUUAUAACUUUGUAAAUUAUUGUAUGUAUGAAUUUAUUUUACUUCCACGUUACAAAAGAUUUUUACACGUGUUUUUAUAAAUAUUAUUUUAUAUAAAAAUACUAUAUUUUAAUCAAUAUUUUGAAUAGUAAUAUUUAUCUAUAAAUCCUUUAAAAAUAAUUUUGUCUUUUAAUUUACUUGAGCCGGAAAUGAUUGGUAAUUAUUUAAAACGGAAUGUUUAACAACUAUUGCUCACAGGAAAGGUAAGAAACUGAUACGUAAGCCUUGCGGGGUUUCGAGUGGUGUUCCGAGUAAUAAGUGUAAAUUAGGACGUCACGACGAUUGUCAUGGACCCGAGGGAGGUUCCGGGUCAUGACAUUUAUACUUGAAAAAUCAACUCUGAUGGAUGUUGACAGCUUCAAACUGUUGGAAACAGUUUAAAAUCAUUUCUAGCUGUUAGUUUGUCUUCAAACAUUCAAAUUCAAAUUCUCUAACAGUGAGCUUUUAGCUGGCUAACCAUACUUCUUAAUCGAUUAAGUCUUCUCUGUCUUACAAUUAGCUUUGCUCUGUUAAUCGGUUAAAUAAGACUUUAACCGAUUAAGAGCUUACUGUCUUUGGAGUAGACAACUUCACUUUUGGAUUUUAGCUUACUAACUCCCUUUGGUUAUCUAACUAAGAAUCUUCUAUUUGUAACUCAUUUUGUGACAUCUUAUUCUGAUGAGUUUUGAUGUUUGUUUCCCAAUGAUUAUUCUACUAAGUGACAUACAUUUUUAUCUUGCAAGCUCAAGUAUUAUAGUAAGACAUUAAUGAAUGGGAAUGCUUUGUUAUCAUCAAAAACUUAUGGAGCCAACACAAGUUAAUAAGGGUUAUACCAUUAGCAAAUCCUAGGAUAAUUGAGGACAUACCAUUACCAAUUUAUGUCUUAUAGGAGAUGGACAUUCUUAUAGUCACUAGCUAGUCCUUAGCUUGUUCGUUGACUUGAUUAAAUUGUUUGCUUAGUUAUUCAAAUGCAUGUUAUGUUAAAGAUGCUUAGAAUAAGGUUUCUUAGCCAAUUUUGGAUGAAAGUUAAGAUGUAAGACUGAUUUUAAGUAUAGAUAGUCAAAUGAGAUGGAUAAGAGUUGGAAACAGCUCAAAUUAUAGGUUUUCAUAAAUGAAGUAUCAAGAAUUUACAAGAAAGUAUCGAUACUUGUUAAAUAAGAAGCUUAGUAAGUAUUUUGUCUAAAAAGUAUCUAUAGUACCCCGUAUUUUGAUACGGUGGCUAAUAAAAUUUACGAAUGCCAAUUGAUGUUAAUUACUGAGGUAAAAAGGGUAAUUCAGAAGUGAACUUGUGAAAUCUCGAUCUCCAUAGACACAUAACAAGAAGUAGACGCAAUAAUGCGGACUAGGGGUAAUUUCAUAAUUUCUCUUGGUGAGCUCCUACGAGUGGGUUUUUUUUAUGCUAUUAAAGUCUAAAUAGGCCUAAGGAAUGAAUGAAUGAUGUUUAUGAUAGUAAAAUAUAUGAAGAAGAUAAAAAUAAUGAUAAUUUCCAUGGUAGGGGCAAAAUGGUCAUUUUACAUCUCAGGUCUAAAUAUUUAUGUUUUUCGUGAACCCAAGUAUUUCUAUACUAUUAUGGACCUUGUCCCAGUGUCAAAAGAGUAAAAAGUUGCACAAAGGAUGAAAGGAAGACAAAGUCACCAUAUUAAGGGCAUUUUGGUAAUUUACGUGAGAAAUGGAUAAACUUUAGAUAUAGAUAUCUAAAGCUCCAGCAAAUUUCCAGUAGCUUCCAGCAACUCUUUUUCUUCCUCCCCUCUCUUCUCUCCAUAUCAUGUUUUCUUCAUCUUCCACGGAAGCCUCCCAUGGUAACCCUAAACUUUGUGUUUUUCUAUACCUUUUCAUAGGGUUUUUCAUACUCUUUCUCUUCUACACCUCAAAAACCCUUAAAGGUCUUUCCUUGGUAUAUUUUCUCACUAGCUGGACGGGUGGAGAAAGAGAGGGAGAUUGUCCACAAUAGCUUGGAAGCUUUUGAAAAGGAAUUCAACUACAAAAAACCACUAAGGUGAGUAAUGAAUUAGGUUUAAUUUUCAAGUUGUUGAUAAUGGUUGAUGAUUAGAGUGGUGAGUUAAUCUAUUGUUGAGAUUGUUAAUCAUUUUAAGAAUGACUAAAGUAGAGUAAAUAACUAGCCACUUAAUGGCAAUUGGAAACUAGUUAGGAAUAACUAGUAGAACUUGAUUUAGGAAAGAGCUUUUGGAAUUAUAUUAAUGCCAAUUUGGGUUGACGGUGAUAUUGUGUGUGUAUAGGUUCCAACAAGGCCUCACAUGUCCAUUUGGAGCAUUAGUUGAGGCUAGAGUCAAGCAAAAGAAUCAACAAGACCGGUGAGUGAACUUGCAUCAAAGUGUUUUUGGGAAAUACAUAUGUGUUGGGAUGAAGCAUUUAAAUGAUUUUACUUGAUUUUCAUUAAAUUAUGCAUGGGAAUAAGCCCUUGAUAAAAUGUUUUGAUGUGGUGAAAAUGUGAAAUGUGUAAAAAGAUGAAUCCAUGUGCUCCUAUAUUAUGUUGGUAUGUAUAUAUAUGAAUAUGUGUUGUUCAUUGAUGAAUAAUGUUGUGUGAUGAUGAUGACCCAGGUAUGUGCGAUGUGGGAGUGCACAUGAGCUGAUGAUGACCCGACUAUGUGCGAGUAGGGAGUGCGCAUAAGCCAAUGAUUACUCGGCUAUGUGCGAGUAGGGAGUGCACAUAAGCCAAUGAUGUCCCGACUAUGUGCGAGUAAGGAGUACGCAUAAGCCGAUGAUGAUGACCCGGCUAUGACGAUGAAUGAAGUGGGGUGGUG
rnacentral:lncRNA from 1 species